rnacentral:lncRNA from 1 species
GGGGUGAGACUAUUGUCCAUCGGUCCUCAGUGGGUUAGCCACCCAAGAGACCAGCUCAACCAACAGCUUAACGAGGCACUGCAAUGUUAAUUCAAAUAUACAACAGAUAUAUAUAUUCAAUUGAAAUACAUGUUCAUGCCUCAUGAAAUGCAAUAUGCAAUACCUGUAAUGCAUACAAGUAGGUUACUUUAACGCUACAUUAUUAUUCUUAUCUUUAUUACUUGUCAUUUAAUGUUUACUUUUAGCUCUUAGCUAUUCUUUACUUGUACCUUUCUUUACUUAUCAGCUAUUCUUAUUCCUUAGCCUAUUGUUGUUUACUUAUCUUUAUUCUUUACACUUUGUCGCACUUUUCUACUGGUCAAUUCUUUCUAAGUUUUCUUACCUUAGUUUCUAUGCCACCGAAUCGGUCUUGAGUCAAUCAUCGCGGUAGUCCGCGCACUGUCUAGCUCGAGGUAAGGAACUCUCACAUGCACCUCAGCUAACAACAGCUCACGUACUCCUGUCCUAGCCGUCUAGCGGCAAACGAAUCGCACCUCAACCAACAACAGCUUAGGUUCCAUGACUUAGCCACCGACGGCAAAAUCGUCGCACAACCCACGACAGUGGUUGAGUCAACAGGCGGGUUAGGAUCCACAAACUGGCUAACCAUCCGGCGGCGAAAUGUCGCACACGCCACGACAAUGGUUCUUGUAGCCGUUGGGCGGCGAAAAUCGUCGCACACACCCGACAACACUUUGGGUGUAUCCUUUUAGCCUUGGAUUCCGGAAUCCAUUUCACAUCACAUAGGGCGUUGGUCUUAACCUAUGGAACUGACCUCUCUAGUCGUAAGCCUUUACUCAACCUAAGUUCACCCAUCUAGAUUUUAUUACUUUCACAUUCUUAACUAGGUUUAUUACACUAGGAUCAUUAUUCUUUCCAAUCUAGGUUCACUUGACUCUAGGCUAGUACUUUUCUUUCACGAACUAUGUUUAUUAACACUAGGUUAGAUGCACUCGAUCUAUUUCAUUCUAGGUCUAUCACGACCUAUGUUCCCUUAACACUAAGUUAAAUGCCACUCGAUCUAAUUACAUACUUAAUUGUCCAAUUAAGCAUUCUACUAUUUCUAGAGUUAUCAAUCUUAUUUUCCAAUGUUAUUUCUCUAUUCAAGCUAGAGUUAUCAACCAAGUUCAUAUGCAAAUAUAAUCUCACAUGCUAAGCAUGAUCUAUGUUGCAUAAUGCUAAUCAUGCGUUUAUAAUCUCAUAUAUCAUUUAUAUGCAUCUACUUAGCAUUUACAUUACAUACUAUAACAUGCAUAUAACUUGCUCAUUAUGCAUUCUAGCAUUUUACAUUACAUUAUUUAGCAUUAUGUAACUUGUUCAUAAUGCAUUCUAGUUUUCUUACUUAUUUAGCAUUAUGGUAACUUGCUCUAAUGCAUUCUAUUGCAUUUACAUCAUACUAUCAACAUGCAUUAUUUAGCUACAUGACUCAUUUACAUGCUUCAUUUAUAUUUAUAUGCAUCAACAUGGAUUCUUAGUUUUCGACAUAAAGGGACCUAGUGCUUCGGUAAACACAACCCACCUUAAUUUGCGUUCGAUUGCUUGUCGACACUAGCAAUCAGCUCCGCGCGACCCGUAUCGGCACGCGCGAUACUGCAACUGCGCUCAACGGCUCCGCUUCGCAGCCCCCGAAAAUUAUAGGUCUUCGCGUUAUGUGCCACGAUGCUCAAAUCCAUUUUCAUGAUUUUACGACGUCGCCUCGGCCCUUCCGGGCCGACCCGAGCCUAAACGUCUAUUUCUUUAAUAACUUUGUAAGGCUCAUCGGAUCCGAACUCUUUGCCAACGCGUUUCGUUACUCAGCAAUUAGGUUUACGAAGGGUCAAUGAGAUCAAACCUCAUAUUUGUGAAAGUUUGCAUUUUGAAGCCUAGGUUACAACUAUGCAAGAAAUCACUAAAUUGAUCCAUGAUUCAAGCAUUAAUUCAUUAGAUAGCAUCUAGGACUCUCUAAUCCAUUUUAGUUAUUUAAACCAAGUAUUAAAGAUCAUUCCAUGUAAGGGCUCAGGCUCACCUUAAAAUGAGCUCCAACCAUGGAGAGAUGAAGAGACGAAGCGCAUCCACUCCACGCUUCAAUCUCCACAAUCCAUUCUUUUUGGGAGAGAUGUUAGAGAGAGAAAGAGAGGCUUUCUUCUUCCCUUCCAUGCGCGUGUGUGUGUGUGUGCCGUAUUGGGCUGUACGGCUGGAGGAAGAAGAAAGCAAAAAGGAUUUAUCCCAUUUUACCCUAAUUUGCCUUCAACUACACACUAUUCACUUACGGGCAGCCUGAAUCUGAUAUAAAUUUCGUUGCGAGCCGCUCCGGAUGUCCACUUUCGCAUCAUUAAUUGCAAGCAGGCUCAUGUUUAAACGUACUGGAGCAAGAAUAAAUCUUAAGUUUUCAGUUGCGACCUCCGUUUUGUCACCGAAACCGUGCCGAACUCAAUCUUUUCAGAUAGCUUUCGGAUUUUAUUUCUCACUCUACGGGUGUCAGAAAAAUAUGAAACUUUAAAUCUAGCCUCAUAAAAAUAUUUCUGACAUCCCCGCUAAUUUUCAUAAUUUUCUGAGACUACAUUUUCUGCUAAUUUAUCAGUCCCGUUUCCAACAGAAAAUUCUAAAUCUUCUGUUUUCGCUCCGAUUUCAGCACAGGUCGUUCCCAACCGAUAUUUCACUUCUCUAAAUCCAAUAAAAUAGUAUCUCAUACUAUUUUUAUUUAUUUUUUUCUUUUAUAUUUAAAAUUCGGCAUGUUACAUAUAUACCUGCUAGUGACAAGUCCCUGUUAUAAAAAGAAGCUACAGCCAUAGAGGUGCCGAGAUAUAUCUAUAGUGCUGAAGGACACACCCAUAUAUCUGCCAGUGAUAUAGCUACUUUUAUAGGGUAAGACCUGAUUUUGCACGUUAUAGCACAAUAUGGGACAGUUAUAGAGUUGUACGAUACAAUUGAAGCUUUGUAAAGCACACCCAUAUACCCACCAGAGAUACGACCCUCUUAUCAAAAGAAGCAACAGCUAUAGGCGUGCCAAGAUACAUUUAUAGUGCUAAAGGGAACAUCCAUAUAUCUGCCAGUGAUAUGUCCACUUUUAUGGGGUAGGACAUGAAAGCAUGUUAUAGCGCAAUACGGGACUGUUAUAGGGGCAAUUUCGUACACUUGAAGCUUUGUAUGGCACACCCAUGUACCUACCAGUGAUAAGUGCCUAUUAUAAAAAGGAGCUACAGCUAUAGAGGUGCCGAGAUACAUCUAUAGUGCUGAAGGGUACAUCUAUAUAUCUGCCAGUAAUAUGUCUACUUUUAUAGGGUAGGACCUGAUUUUGCACGUUAUAGCGCAAUAUGGGAUAGUUAUAGGGCUGUACGGUACAAUUGAAGCUUUGUAAGGCACACCAAUAUACCCACCAGAGAUACGACGCUCUUAUCAAAAGGAGCCACAGCUAUAGGCGUAUCAAAAUACAUUUAUAGUGCUGAAGGGAACGCCCAUAUAUCUGCCAGUGAUAUGUCCAUUUUUAUAGGGGGAUCUGAUUUUGCACGUUAUAGCGCAAUACGGGACAGUUAUAGGCUAUUUUCGUACAAUUGAAGCUUUGUAUGGCACACCCAUAUACCCACUAGAGAUAUGACCCUCUUAUCAAAAAAAGCCACAGCAAUAGGCGUGUCAAGAUACAUUUAUAGUGCUGAAGGAAACACUCAUAUAUCUGCCAUUGAAAUGUCUAUUUUUAUAGGGUAGUACCUGAUUUUGCACGUUAUAGCGCAAUACAGGACUGUUAUAGGAUAUUUUCGUACACUUGAAGCUUUGUAUGGCACACCCAUAUACUUGCCAGUGAUAAGUCCCUGUUAUAAAAUGGAAUUACAGCUAUAGGGGUGCCGUGGUAUAUCUAUAGUGCUGAAGGGCACACCCAUAUAUCUGCCAAUGAUAUAUCUACUUUUAUAGGGUAGGACCUGAUUUUGCACGUUAUAGCGCAAUAUUGGACAGUUAUAGCGCUGUACGGUACAAUUAAAGCUAUACAGUAAGGAUUAAGCAUAAUACAAUAUAACAAAUAUGGUAAACCUUGAAAUAGUGUACAUAUGGAUGAACCUACUAUGUACCAGAUUAUGAACCAUUCACACAAAAAUUCAAUGUUUAUAUAAACUGAAUGGCAUGGCUCUCCAAGCAACUCGCCAACGUCUUUACAAAAUGUUUCACGAAAUAGAUACCUCAGGCUGCACAUUGUUACACUACAUAAUACAGUUCAUUACAGUUACAACCAAUCAAUCAUAUAAUAUCCACACAUCAUCUUUUGGGACAGCAAACUCGAUCAUAGAAUUGUAGGUCACACAACAUAGAUCCUUUAAUAUCGCACUGACCAUAUGCACACGGAAACAAUGGGGCUCAUUCUCGUACAAUAGUAGAUCGGGUUGGCCAUUCCUUAUGAGUCGUUCAGCAAAAAGGCAUGUGUACAUGGCACAAUCAACUUCAGUAAAACCCUGUUGUUGACAUUGUAGGCAAAAUACGACGUUAGGAGCGCCGACGCGUAUUUGGAGGAUGUGCUCAAAAUAAGAUGAAAACCACUUCGCCUACAUAAGAGAAGUAAGUAAAUAAAUUGAAUGAGUGAAUAAUAGAUGUUAUUGGCGAGUGAAUAAAUAACAAAACCACUUUGUCUACUGUGAAGAAUAAAAUCAAUACCAGCAGCUGUGCUGCGUCCUUUGCCACAAUAUGACUGCACGAACCAAAAUUAAAACCUGAUAAGAGUGUUCUAUUAUGCCAUGAGAGUGUCCUAUUAUGCCAAAAAUAAUUAAUACUUGAAAGAGUAUUCUAUUAAACUCUAAAAGUGUUCUAUUAUGGCAUAAGAGUGUAAGAUUGCAACGCAUACGUGUUCGCAACGCUAAAUCUGAUAAGAGUGUUCUAUUAAGCCCUAAGAGUGUUCUAUUAUGGCAUAAGAGUGUAAAAUUGCAACACAUAUAUGUUCGCAAUCCUAAACCUGAUAAGAGUAUUUUAUUAUGCCCUAAGAGUGUUCUAUUAUGGCAUAAGAGUGUCAGAUUGCAACAUAUAACUCUCUAUUUACAGAAUUCCGAUCAAAUCAAUCCCUAAACAUAUGAGCUUAACGCAUGUAUUACAAGGAGCACUAUAUACCUACUGUCCCUCUACCCAAAAUGGACACUAUGCGAAUGUUAAGAAAGAUAGCCGAGAGGAAGGGUAUGAUUAGCGCACCAGUUUGAGGGAGAGCAAGAGUAGUGAGGAAUGGGCUCCCGGAUCCUAUGGUGGAAGGAUAACACUCUCCCCCAGGUGGACAGCUAAAUCGCAGACCCUAAACCUGAUAAGAGUCUUCUAUUAUGCCCUAAAAGUAUUCUAUUAUGGCAUAAGAGUGUCAGAUUGCAACGCAUAUAUGUUCGCAACCCCAAACCUGAUAAGAGUUUUCUAUUAUUGCCAAAGAGUAUUCAAUUAUGGCAUACGAGUGUCAAAUUGCAACGCAUAUAUGUUCGCAUUAAACCAUAUAUGUGUUUGUGAACUGUGCUAUACAAGUAGCAAUACUACAAAUACAAACAAAAUAAUCAUUAAUAAGAGUAUACAAGUAUGAUAUUUCGUUUCAAGCAGUAUAGCAAACUAACUCCUAAAACCACAUAGCACCGUUCUACCAAUCCAUAAGAGAAUAUACUAGCAAUUAAUACAUAUUUUCUACACCUUUUUCCCAUUCAAACAAAAUAAAACUUAAUCAUAUGCAUAAUUUGUAUAUUUGUAAUGAAUACAUGUUUUCUAUCCUAAACCGAACAAAAUUUAAUAAAAUGCGUGAAGUAUACGUGUGUGACUAUGAAAGCAACUUCUAAACCCUAAACCCUAAUCCUAACCCUAAACCCUUUAUUUUUAUAAAUACAACCAAAAAUAAAAUAUACCAGCAGUGUUCUAAAAUUAAAUGAAUCUGCUAGUCGGUGACGAAGUCCGCAGCAUGCAAAGGCAAAGCGAAACUGGAACCCUAAACCCUCAAAAUAGAAAUUUCAUAUUGAACAAAAAAUUAAAAGAAAAAUAUUAUAGGAAUUAAAAUAUUCCCCUGUUUGGGUUGAGUCCUUUGUUUGGGUUGUGGCCGAGAGGUCCGAAAUCGCCCCUAAUUUCAGCCGUCCAUAAGCAAAUGAACAAGUGGCAGGCCCUGGGAUGGACAGGGGAGCGGUGUGGAGAGUCGUACAAGCGAUUGAGAGGCGACCUCCUACCAAUGGAGAGAGGCGAGGGCGAAAGGGAGCUCCAAGACGGCAUGGAACAGGAUUUCCUACAGAGCGCAACAAUGUGUGGAAUAAAAGCACUCCCUGCCGAGCUCCUACCCGAUGGAGAGAAGCGAGAGCGAGAGAGAGGCGAGAGCACUAGAGCAAGAGAGAGGCGAGAUCGCGAGAGCGAGAGCGAGACGCGGCUGCGAGAGAGAGAAAAAGAGAGGGCGAAUGCUUCGCAUUGAAGGAAAACGAGGGGGUGAAGUUAUAUCUCACUUUUAAUCAAUAUUAAAUCUCAACCACUGAAUUAAUGGUUGUAGGAUGUACACCCCUAAUGGGGGAGUACAGGUAGACUUUUCCUUUUAAAAAAGAAUUUGAGUAUUUAAAAUAAAACUAGAGUGCAAAGUGGGUGCUACAGGUGAACUUACCCUUAUAAGCAUUUUCCUUUGAAAAAAUAUUUAAGUUGGCAUCGAGGAAUUUUAACUUUGGCCAAUUUGCAUAAAAAAUCCACUAGUUUUGUGCUUUUGCAAAAGUGGGCCACCUUUUUCGAUUUUACAGAUUUGAGCCGGAUUUUUAGCAAACUAAUCAAAAUACCUUUAUUUUUUUUCUCUCUCCUCUUUUUUUUUUUCUCUUGUUCUUUUUUUUUCUCUCUCCAAAGAAGGCAGCUGUAGUGCCCCUGGUGUUUAGCAGUCUGUGUGAUUUCAGUAUCUGUAGCUUAUCGACACAUCUGGUGGGAUGUCGAGACAAAUCGGAGUCGUUUUGGCACGAAAUAGACGUAAAACGGACUCAAUGUAGUGCAGGAGUGGAGUUCUGACACUGAAAUCUGCAAAGUGCAGGAUUUCAGUGUUGAGUAUCGGUACCUGAGGAUAAGUACCAGUACCCCAGUGAGAUUGCAGAAUUGGAUGCUCUCGGGUUUGCGUAUAUCUGAUGCCGAGUACCGGUACCUAUUGUCGAGUACUGGUAUCGAGCUCGAGUACCUGUAUUGCAUCGGGAUGGUAUCGGUACCCAAUGUGUGAGAAUGCUGGUUGAGGGCCGCGUACCGGUAUCCAAGUGGGGUACCGGUACUCCAGCUGGAAAAAUGAGUUGGUAAGGGGUAGUUUGGUCUUUUGAAGUGUCGUUCAUUCCAAUAUUAACCCAGCCUAUUUAUAUGCAUAGGGUGUUUAGGGAGGGGGAUGUUGCUUUUUUUCUUCUCUCUCUUUUGCUGGUGGUUGCCGUGCGUCGGGAAAGUUGAGGCUCGAGCUCGUUCGGAUUCGACGUUCCUCCGGAGGACCGUUCGUGCACGUGAGAGUCGCGGUUGCGCCAUUGGAGAUCAGGCGAACGCGUGGGUUCUCUUUUAUCGACUUUUAGCCGACAUUGGAAGAGUAAUCGAGGUGGGUUGAUGUUUACCGAAAUCGUCGGAUUUCCUCCUUAAGUCGGAGUUUUGUCAGUAUAUAUGGUUUUAUGUAUAGCAUCAUGCUUAGUAGCUCAAUUUAUCGAUUUGCAUAGUUUUUAUGGAAUCUAAAUUUGGAGCCUUAAUUUAGAAUCUUUUUACAUGUUAAACUGGGAAUUGACUUAGGAGAAAACAUGUUAAAUCCUACACUGUCAUUUUCUGAAAAGUUACCAAAUUUAGCUUUAGGAGCUGUGGUUCUUUUAUAUCCUCGCUGUUAGUGCGUAUUGAAUACUCAAACUAGUGUAGGAUGAGCUUACGCUCGUGCUUGGAGGCCGAGCUCGUUUUACAGUAAUGUGUAGGCUAUUUCGUACUAUCGGGUGCUGUCGCGGUUGACGGUGGACCCAAAUUUCUAUAUUUUGCAUUAGAUUAUGCCAAGGGCACGUGAGCUUUGGUUGUUAGACCAGUUAGACCCAUUUGCAUUGACUACAGUCUGUGACAGUCUGAUUGAGCUCGGCAUAGACACGCUUGCAUAGUCGGUUGGGUUGCGCCCACGAGUGCCGCUCCGGAGUCUGGCUACCUUGCAUUAAUGUCGUAGUAGUCCGGUUUGGACUUUGCUCUCCACCGACCGCCCUCAGGGUGGUGUACGGUGUAGCUUAGACAGGCGGGACGAUCGUAUCGUAGUCCCUAGUGAGAUUGGGUCUGUGUGAUGCAUGUUUUUAUCUACAGAUAGCUUGUGUUGGUUAGCGAUAGCAUAGUAUCAUGUAGCUAUAGAGUUUUUCCAGCUUUCAUUACUAUCCUUUGCACAUAUUUCUGUAGACUUGGUGGGUGAGCCGAGUCGCAAACCUUAUAUGCUAUCACAUACGAUGACAAUCAAAGCCAACAACUAGGUUCAAGUCACUCAACACUAUGCUUCCGAACCUCCCGGCAAACAGACUGAGACUACUAACCAAACAAACCUUUUAGUUGUAACAGGUACAACUAAAGAGCUAACAAGCACCCAGACUCGAACUAACAUCAGAACCAUCAGCAAUGACGAUAAGUCCACUGCACAAAACCUGCCAGGGAAUAAUCCAAGACUCGCUACAUGGUCAAAGAUGACCAUCACUUAAGCUUUCUCAUAAGACAAGCUAGAGCAAAUACUCACCCAAUCCAAAAGUCCCGAAGCAAGGAAAGGGUAUUUCGCCCCACUUUCGACAGUAUAUUGUCUGCAGCCAAUGUACUUAUCAAAAGAAAGCGAAAUAUCCGAAAAUCUACUACCAACAACAAGUUGGAAGCGCGACAGGUCAAAGUAUCAAGUCACCUGAUACCUCUUAACUGAACCAAGAGUUCACAACCAUUACUGGCAAAACAUCGACUUUACAAGUCAACAUUCGAAAUCAGAACGACCCUGAACCGACACAUAGGGAGUCCUAUAACUUUCAACAUCCGAAAGCUGCUAGCGACAAUAAGCCGCGAAUCGCACAAACUGAGGCUUUAUGAAACGAUUUCUCUAACUUAUUUCCGCGCUACAACCGAGCGAUAACUAAAGCUACGAGAACUCUGACAAUACCCUGAAGUAUAUAUCUCGAGUUGAAACGAGCCUUAUCACAAACCACAGACUAACCCACAUCACACCAUUUAGGUGUUAGAACAGCCGCAUAUGAUGUAUGCAUCAACAAAGGCCUAACACCAAAACUGUGUCAAUCCGAUUCUAUUACACAUCCAUUUGACGAAAGAACUAGAUAAAGGUCAAAAGACCCAAACCGCUGAUUCCAAUCGGCAAACGAGGAGGAAAAGUAGGCAUCACAACCCUACCCAAGGAUCUGCGGAGGUAACACUAACUAUGUAGUCGCCUAAACGACCGCUAACAAAACCUUAGGCUACACCAUAGUAGCCUUAUCGAAGUCGUGAAUGUAGCUGAUCACAGUGCCGUCUCCGUGGUGACACUCGCAAUAGCUCUCGUGUUCUAAGUAGGGAAAGUGGCUUGGGCGUCGGCAGUUAAGACACUCGCCUCGGCCCGAAGAUCACCUGGCCCUUCAAGGCCACACCUGACAGGAGUGGCAACACCUGGGGAACACCGCCCUACCACUAGAUGUCCAAAAAGAAGCACCGCCACUACUCCCGACUGAAACAUCAGCUUGUGCGAAAAUCGUAGUACAUUAGGAAAUAACCGUGCAUUCGAGUUUACCAAUCUCAACAUGCACACCAAGACUCAAGCCCAAACCCCGCACUCACGUGCCUAUAUACCGUAGGUCUUCCUAUGGUUCAACCUAACCGAUGGUUCAGUUUCAUUUACUUUAAAAACAACCUGUGAAUGGUGUUGUGGUUGUAACUUAUCUCUGAUACCACUUUAAUCUGUCACGCCCCGGGGUCCUUGUUAGAUUGAAAGUACAGCGGAAGUGACUAAAUUUUUUUUUUUUUGAAAACCUGACCCCAGCAUAUGCGAGAUCCGCCACAAAUACAGAAAAUCCACUGUUCACACGGACAGAGUCUUCCCUGUAUUUGUAAGGCAUCGUGCAAGUACAAGAUGUGCAAACAGAGUAUAACCAGAAUACAACCACAAUACAUGAAUAGACAAUUCUCAACAUUCAUUCACCAUUCACCAAAUAUUUACCAUUCAGUGUUUAAAUAUAAAAAAACUACAAGAAAAACUCUUUUGAAAGCUAUUUUCCAUACGGAAACUCUUUUCUUUUUAAAACGCUACCACGAGGGGUAGAAAACUAUUUUUUCCUUUUCACAAAAUUCACAAGUUCUAUAGUUCAUUCAAAACCACAUAAAUUCGAAUAACAUCAACCAACUGAACCAUGAAAUAUCAAAGCUAUUAAUAACACAAGUAAACAGGGUAGGAACUAAACCAACAAGCCAGGCCGGAAGCUCUAGCGACCACUACGAACGUGUCGCACGUCUCGUCUCUACUGUCACCGCCUGUGAUACCUGAAAAAUGGUGGGGGAGGUGAGAACAUGUAAACAUAUCUCCCUUCCCAGUGGGUGCCGCAAGCCGAAGAAGGCGAGGAGUACUCACCGGAUCAGAAAGAGAUAUAUAACAAUAUGGUAAACAAAUACUGAUGCUGAUAUAAAGGAACUACAGUAGCUAUAACAGAUAAAGAGGAAGCAAUAAACAAAACUGCUACUGUAAGGAAUGCAAAGCCGAGUAAGCCUCAAGGUAACAAAACCAAAACUGUACCCAAUCUGAUGCUGCUAUAUUGGUCCGCAGACCUCAAGCGUUGCCUGUCACAGAGCAGACGCUGCCAACUUAUUCAUGCGUCACCGACGACCUAUCCAGAUACGUACACCCCUUGGUUGGUAGCCAAACCAACCUGGUGUCUAGAAUACACAGUGCUGUGACUAAGUCAUGCUGGUAUGCUCAAUACGAAAACCGGCUGAAGCCGGUGCCUAGGCCGAAGCCAGAAACAAAGGCGUACAACGUCGAACCACGAUCAACCAGAUCGAAACACAUGACAAAAGAGUCGAUGUGUUGCCUAGACCCAAAGUCCACAGAGUCCAAUCGACCAACAAGGCCACUGAUACGAAGUACGAGAACCGACCAAUCAGGUCAACAGAUAUGCAUAUAGAUAGAACUACUAUACUCCUACUCAGAAUACUAAGCAUGCAAACAACAAGUAGAGUAUACUGGAAUAAUCAUGGGUGCAAGGCUCAAUAUAUACUAUGCAAUAGUAACAAUAGAAGAGUAAGGGUAAGAAACCAUCACCGAGCGUGCACCACUGUACCAACGUCGGAUUGAAGUACCCACCUAUAAGGAUGUCGCGUCUGUCUCCUUACUGCAAAAGAAUGUCAACCGGACCUAAGGAAGGUCCACCGGGUUAGUGUCUAACCCACCACUAAUAACCACUGACUCCACAUCCCACAGACUAAUCCCACGGAAAUGGGUUUCCCAAAACCGGCUACCAUAACUCGUCGGAAGUCCCGAAAAUCGCACGGGAAAUCCCCCCGGGACCCACGAACUGUCCCGGAACACACCGACUUGUGCUACGAGUCACCCGCUGCCACUAAACAUAAAUAAUCAUGCAUCAUGGCAGCAAACACAACUCCUCACGUCGAAGCAAUUAUCGUCGGAUAAUCGUUUCGAUUCGGGUUCCCGGAAGUGUCUAAUUCGACACCGGAACCCACCGUCGCUCACCCGUCAUUUCUGAACUCUCAAAAUGACGCGAGUGACCAGCCAACAAGGCUCAGUGACUACACAAUAGCUCACGAAGCACCGUCGGAAUAAUUCCGAACCGAACCAGCAUUUCGUCGACUGAUUUCGCCGAGAAACGAGCCGGAAAUCACUUUUCUAUUUCCGCAAGGGCUUGGGGUCUUGGACAAUCAGUCCAGGGGUUACCCACAGCCUGUACACGCUGCCCACAACGACCACAACAAACAAGAUUGCAUCAAAGCCCUCCCGACUACCCGAAAUCACAUUAUUUUAUGUGAUUUCGACGUUUUUAUGGUCCGACUACGCAAACCGGAAGUCAAUCAGCCAAGCCGAGACACCCGCUGACAGGUCUCGGCGUGCCGGAGGCUGUGCUCACCUUUCGGAGCACUGCUGUCCACUGGGGUAAUCGCACAAGCGACGCGAAGAUCUGUGAAACAGCGCGUACAGUGCCAAGAUCGCAAUUAACUCGCUAACCAGGACAUCAUUUACUCUAACGGAGGUGAGCACGAUGUUCAGAAUGAACCCAGGGUCAUCGUGCUCACUUCCCCAUUUAUCAGAGAGCCCUUGGAUCACCGGAAAGGCAAUCGGAACCCCAGAACAGUGCACAGGAAUUUAAAUGCAGCCUAACCUAAGCAGUAGAGCUAGGGUUGGUCGCCGGCGGCCGGACGGCGGGCGGCCCGGCCAGGGGAGGGUGCGGCCGGUCGGUGGGGUCCGGGGCACCAGCUCGCCGGCGGCGGGAGGCUGCCAGUGGUGCGGCGGAGGAGAUCAACUCCACCUAGCUACUCUCGGGUUCAAUAUCUGCGGCGGCCACGCGAUGGUCGGAGAAGCUUGGGACGGCAACGACCUGUCGCAGGAGGCCGAGGGGAAGGCGGCGCGCACAGCCUAGGGCGGCGGCGGCGCACGAAGGCAGUGCGGGUCCAAGCUUGGCCUGCACGCGCUCCAGAUGGCCGCAGAGAGAUCCGGCGGUGGCCGGCGGCGCGCGGGGACGGCGAAGAGGCGCGCGGGAGGUCGCCGGAGGUCACCGGAGGGCGGCGCGACCGAUGGGGAACGGCGGCAGCACACGGGAGCAGAGAUCACCCAGGCUCGGCCUGGGUGACUGCAGGUUGGCCGCAGAGAGCAAGGCGGCUCCGGCGGCGCACGGGGAUGGCCAGGGCCGACGAAGGAGAUGGCGGAGAUGGGUCUCGGCCAGGGGACAAUGGCGCUCGAGCUAGGGUGGCUUCCUGGGUCCGCAACCACAGUGCGGUGAAGUGGUUGGCCGAGAGGAAAAGAGAGAGGUGAUGCAGGGAUUUCCAGCGGCCGGGGGUGCUCGCCGGCGGCCGGAGCAUGCGCACGGGGAAGGCAAGAAUCAGCUGAGGCGGCUGGUGGACUAGGGUUAGCUGGAAUGACUUAGGGUUAGGGUUUCACCUCGAAACCCUAAAGCAAUGUAUAUAUACAUAGCGCAAGCUUGCAGAAAACCCCCUCUAGUCUAAUAGUUUUCGACCAAGCCCCCUGCCAACAUGUGCACCUUGCAUAUAAGUCCCUUGACGUUUGAAUUUACGCAAAGUGGCGCAUAAAAUAUUAGGUUUCUUCGCAAUUUAUCCGUUUUGCCAAUUUGACCUCUCAGCGAAGAUCUCACAAUUCCCGAAGAUCCGUCUACCAGAUUUCCGAACGGAUCAUGCCAACGCGUUCAACACGACUGGAGCAUCGAAUCUAGUAUCUUGUUUCAUCCGAUUUGGUCUCUGAUUCACGACGGAACCAGCCCUUUUUGCUUCCACCAAUAACCACAUAUUUUUUUCAUAUGUAAAACCAAACAAACCCCUUUUUCUCGACAACCGUGCAUCAGAACCCAAUUCCGUCAGUGCCAUUGGGUCCAGAAUAGUUGAGCCGUUCGAAACGAGCUAUUGGAGUCCUAUGUUUGUAGUCCAAUACGCACUAGAACCCUUCUCUACUCACUCAUUCGAAAAGCCGGAGUUACUAUUCACUUUAAGUCAUCGGUCCUGGUCGCGUAACUUCUCCAUUGUAACUCGUUUUCUCUUGAAACUUGACGAGUGUCUUUGUAAUUAAAUUACACACAGAAACAUCAUCAACAGAGAGUUUAGCUGCACUGCCAAAAUCUCAGUCCUUACAUAUGUACUAUGAACCUUAUGUUUUAUAUAUAUAUUCAUGUUCAGUAGCAGCUCGACACUCGGUUGUAGCUAUGAUUUGUUUACAGAUACAGCUAUCGCUUCGUAUAUACGAAAAAUUCCUAUAUAUACAACGGGUCUGUUGGCGUGCCCGGGGAACCGUGGUAAUCCGGGGCGUGACAGCAGCGGAGGCGGAGGCGGAAACAGCCCGCCUCGCCUCUGCUUCGCACGCCCUCGCCCUCUCCCUCGCCCUCACCCGUGCACCCCCGCCCUCCUCGCCUACGACCUUGCUGAGGCCGUGCCGCGACUGUCACGCCCCGGGACCGGCGGAGGCCCUCCCGGUAGCGUGCCCAGACCCGCCAUAUGUCUACACAUAUAAGGCGUCUACAAUAAAAGCGGAAGUAAAGGCAAGCAGUAGAACAAUAGGAGAAGUGAAAUAACUAACAACUAAUGAUAUCAGAGCGAGUAUAGUUCUACAUCUACACCAAAGGAAAGAAGUAAAGUUAGACAAUGAAAGGAGUCAUAAGUAGUACAAAAUCUAUCUCCAAAAUACAAAAGUGGUGGUCUCUAGUACACUGGUAAAACUCUCAACCUCUCGCAAAAAGAAAUAAAAAUCGAGAGGUAGACCACCUAGCAACUCGUCCUCGAAGGAAGCUAGCUCGAAGCAACUCCCUUCCCGCGAUCCCUGGCCUCACCCUGAGUGGAAGGCUCUGAAAAACAUCGAGAAAAAGAGGGCGUGAGAACUAUAAUUUAUAGUUCCCAGUGGGCAAUUACUGACCUCAGCUCAUGCUCCACUAGGCCCUAAAAAUAAGGGUAAGUAACGAUAAUAAUAAUAAUAAGCAAUAAGGAGCAUGUAAAUAAACUGCUGAAAGAAAGCAUAAUUGAAAUGCUAGUCUACUGUGUCUCAAGUAAGCAUGAUGUCAACCAAAAUGUACAUCUAUUCUAUCAUUACAAUUAAGUCCAAUGGCACUAGUUUAAUGUUGUUAACCUUUGUCAAUACAUGAUAUAGGAGUUCUAUCAUGGCAACCAAGUAUACUACAUGUCUCACACUAUGCUAAAAGCAUGUAAAUGUAAUCCAACUACUAAGCCUAUCUAGUAGUGAUCAUUCAUUCUCAAACCGUGUCGAUUUACAUUUCCAAUUAAGGAUCUACCCAAGGUAGUCCGGCUUGUGCCGCCUAAGUGCCUGUGGUAGCCCGACAUUCCUACCCAUGGAAUGUGUCUGUCCCACUCGACCCCGUAGGCGUCUCAAUACCGCACGAGCGAACAAAAGUCGCAUAGGCCAACUCCGGAGUGCCGGCUUGUGGGGAGCGACCCUCACAAGCAUGUGCGAAUGAGCACAAAUGGCAAACAAGCAAGGUCACUGUCUCAAGUACCCAAUCCUCAUGUCUCUAACAUGGUAUAGUCACUAGCAUCCCGAAGAUCUAGUUCAAAGUCAUAAUGUGAAGUCCCAACACACACUUGCUUAGUGCCUCUUUAUGACACUUAAGCUCCACAACUAAUCAUGUUCCAAUUAAGACAUUAACAUUAAUGCUCACUAUGCCCCGGGCCCCAAUGCCUCUUCAUGACAUUGGCCCAAUCUCACAUAUCAUCUAAGUCCCUAAGCCUCUCUAGGCUUCCAAAAAUCCCUAAUGUCACAUCUGGUAUAUAGUUUGAAUGCAUGAAAGCAAGGUUCGUUUUCAUAAUAGGGAUUAUAAUUUCAAGUCUCAACUAGAAUGCUAGGCCACACAUGCAUGCUCUCUACUAUAUAGAGGUCCCAAAAUUUACUACACAUAACCUAUGCAUGUUAAGCAUUCUAAAAUUCAUAAUAAAUACAUUUAACAUGAAAAUGCAAGAAUUUCAACUUUACGAAACAUUUAACACCAAAUAUGAGCAUUUCUCAUAUUGUAUGCUAGGCCAAACCCACCGAACCGUCGCGUGCUCCUUCGAUUCGUCGAACGGAGUUGUCCACGAGCCUCAAAAUACCCUAAAAGUGAUCAGCGAAAAGAUACGAGAGUAUUACGACCAACCAUAAGAUCAAACAUCAAUCUAGAAGCAAAAAGGGCCAAAAUUCACCUCAAGAGAAGAAAUCUCUUCUAAAGCUCCAAAAGAGAGCUAGAACCCUUCCAAUCCAAGCUCAAGGAAGGUUCUAAUCCAAUCAAUCUAGCCUCAAAAGCCCUAGAUUCAAAAAGCCCAAAAUAAACCCUAAGUCCCAAAACUAGGGUUUCAUAAGGUAAAACCUACCAAAUCAAGGAUCAAAUGGUAGAAUCCAAGUACUAACCUCCCAAGAUGCCUCCAAACAAGCUCCAAAUCUUCUAGGGUUGAAGAUUGGUCCACCACCAAGCUCUACAAGCAAGCUCCAAGCCAAGCAAGGGUGGAAAGGAGAGAAACGGGUUGAGCUCCAAGCUCCCUCAAGCAAAUUCCUCUUCUUCUUCUCCUUCUCCUCCUUCUUCUUCUUCUCUCUCUAGAAGGUGUUGAGAGGGGGUGAGAAUGAGGAAAUGAGAGAGAGAAGAGGAGGAACUGGCUAAUAAGCCCAUCUAAUGUAACAAAAUCCAGUGAGGCCCCUCAAAAAUCCAUUAUUGCAACAGCCCGGUCUGGGCAGUUUUCGCCCAGAGGGACCGGUCUCUCCCCAGCAGGGACCGGUCUCUCGCUGCGAACCCGAAAAUCCAACGUUCGGGAACCGGUCUCUCCCUACGCGGGACCGGUCUCUCACUGCGAAGACGCGCUCGGGGACCGGUCUCGCCUGCCAGGGACCGGUUGCCUCAGGCUGCCUCAACACUGCUCACUGGGGGACCGGUCUCUCCUUCCAGGGACCAGUCCCCGAGAGCAAAAACUCUCAGGACUUGUCCAGAAUUUCAGUUUUCGAACUUUUCAGGUCGGAAAACAUUCUACAACCCUCCACCAAGUGUGGGAAAGCUCGAAAUACAUCCAAACACUCGAACCUCGCAAUUUGCAAAGGUCCAGUGUGUUAGAGCGACCCUCCUUCUCCACUAGGCACGGCGACGUUGAGACGCAGUCUCUUUUCCUCCACCGCACGUCGGAACGCUGAGACGUCGUCGGAGGCAGCAAGAUCGCCUUCGACGACGUCGUGGUGGUUGCGAUAGAGAGCAAGGGAGAGGUGGUGACAAAAAAAAAUUAUAGAGAAAAAAAUAAGAAUAAUAAAAAAUAAAAAAUUUUCUACAGAAAAGAUCAAAAAAUAUAGAAGAAAGAAGAUGAUGAAAUUGCACUCUUAAAAUAAGAUUAUACUGUUUUUAAAAAAAUUGCAUUGUUUUAAUGAAAAUUGCAUUAUUUGAUAUAAAAAUUACAUUCUUUUGAAAUGAAUUUUACACUCUUUAAGCCAAAGUUGCAAUAUUUAUGAGAAUUUUGCACUAUUUCUUUUCCUUUUCUUUUUCUCUUUCUCUUCUUCUUCUUCAGCCGCGCUCUUUGUGAAACUGAAAAAAUUAAAAAUAUUGAAUUACAAAUACUACCUUAAUUAUGUCCUUAAUUGUCACGCCCCGGAUUACAUGUUCUCCGGGCACGCCGACAAAUCCGCCGUACACAAAGAAAUUUUUCCUGUAUACGAAGCAUAGCUGUACCUGUAACAAAUACAACACUACAACCAGUAGUAUAGAGCUGCCUGAAUAAAACUGGUAUAAACAGGGACAAGUUCCAUAUACAUACAUACGUCCAGGUAUACAAAAAUGCUCGCCCAGCGAGAUACAAUAAGUAUCCAUAAGAAACUCAAAAACUAGCACUAACUGCAGCCGGUAACCUCUCGAACAGCAGUAACUGGGAAGGGCUCUAACUGGCAACGCCCUUGCCACGAUCAGUCUCCGAGGAAGCAGCAGCCGGAACAGCAGGCUCUGCAAAAAUAAGGUAACAACUGGGCGUGAGAACUACUGUAAAAAUUAGUCCUCAAUGGGUGCCGCCCUCAACAUCGUCGGUCUACCCACCAAGUCUACAGAAGAGAGCAAAGAUAGUAGAAAAAUGUUGGAAGAAAAUCUACAGCUACAAGUCACUACACUAUCAUGCUCUACACUAACCAACUGUAGGAAAUGUCAAUUCUGACCCAAUCCAACUGGGACUGUAAACCUACCCGUCCCUGGGACUGUGAACACACCCGUCUCGCCCGGUUGCGACUAUACAGCUACCUCCACACUAAGCGGUCAAUGGAGAGCAAGUCCAACCUACACGAACGACACCAACGCGAAAGCACAAUGCCCGUCUCCGGAGUGGCACUCGUGGGAGCUACCCAACCGAGUAUGCAGCGUAUCUCUGUCGAGCUCAAACAGGCUCUCACAAGCCAAAGUCAAGUAACCGAAUCUAACUGGUCUAACAACCAACAGGUCACGUGCCUUCAACACAAUCCGAUGCCAAAACGGCGAUAUGGGUCCACCGUCAACCCCGACGACCCCCAACAGUCCGGAACAGUCUGAACACUACUGUAAAAAAACACUCGGUAUCCCAGCACUAGCGUAACUGAAAUCUAAACUAGCCGGGGUAUCCACCACACUGAUAUUGCAGCGAUACAAAAUAAUAACGGCUCCUAGAGCUAAAUCAGGUAGUUUAAGCAUGUGACAGGUUCAAAUCGCAGGUUUUCUCCUAGGUCAUAUCCAAGUCCAACAUGUGUAAAUCCUUAGUCACAAUACUAAACUCCAAUUCAGAUUCUACAGUUAAACAUGCCAAAAUCCAUGAAUCGAGCAAUUUCUAUCAACGAAACAACAUAACAACACAUAUCGACAAUCUAUAUACUUAGAAGACAAACUGACGAUUAACCCACCUCAAAAGCUAAUCCCAAUCCGGCGCGACGUCGAGAACGGCGGAAUCGCACCCUCGUCCGGCCUCCUCGCGAUGCUACGACGAUGAACGGCACCACGACGCGACGUCGGCAAAACUCCAACACCACCUGAGCUCCUCCUCCGCACGCUCGGAUCAAGUCUAAAGAGAGAGAGGAGAAGGAACAAGCCAAAGAACUCCCCUCAGCUUCCCUCUACGCAACUAAGUAGUAAGGGGAGGUGUGGGUGAUACAUACGAGGCCUAAAAAGACAAAUCUGCCCCUCACCUACCCCCGUGUACCGGUACACGGGCACUUGUACUGGUACAAAAGGCAACCCGAGAGCAGCUGCUCGCCAAUCAGGCGAAGUGUACAGGUACACCUCUGAUGCUGUACCGGUACAAAAAUUGUACCGGUACAACUCUGAUGUUGUACCGGUACAUCAAGCAGAAAAUCUGCAAUUCGCAGAUUCCAAUGCUAACUCCAGCUCUCGCGUCCCCGCUGAGUCCGUUUUGCGUCUAUUUCGCGCCAACGAGACUCGGACUUGUCCCGACAUUAAUAAUUUAUAGUACAAGUUACUAGUGAACAACGCUACGUCACUCUCCAAGGACGUCCCUAUCGACCCCAAUCCCGCUAUGGGCGUCCUCCAAGGGCAUCCCCAUCAACCCCGACUGUGGUGUCUCCGCACGGCUCUACCUCCCCGCCGGUGAGGCUGCAUCGGCGGCGACGGCGACGGUAAAGCGUCGCUACCGGCGAAGCUCCCGAUCGUCGUUUACUUCCACGGCGGCGCUUUUUGCAUCGAGUUGCCCUUCUCCCCGUAGUACCACCGCUACCUCACCUCCCUCGCCGCCACGGCAGGGUCGUCGCCGUCUUCGUCCACUACCGCCUCGCCCCUCAGCACCUGCUCCCUGCCGCCUACGACGACGCCUGGGCCGUGCUCAAAUGGGCCGCGUCCAACGCUGCCUCCGGCCCCAAGCCCUAGCUCGCUGCGCGUGGCGACCUCCGCCUCUUCCUCGCUUGCGAUAGUGCCGAAGCCAACAUCGCCCAUAGCGAAGGUAUAAUAAUCAAGAUUAAGGUAGUAUUUGUAAUUCAGUAUUUUUAAUUUUUCUUGUUUCACAAAGAGGGCGGAGGAAGAAGAAGAAGAGAAAGAGAAAAAGAAAAGGUAAAGAAAUAGUACAAAAUUUUUCUAAAUAGUGCAACAUUAGCCUAAAGAGUGUAAAAUUCAUUUCAAAAGAGUAUAAUUUUUAUAUCAAAUAAUGCAAUUUUUAUUAAAACAGUGCAAUUUUUUUAAAACAGUGUAAUCUUAUUUUAAGAGUGCAAUUUCAUCAUCUUCUUUCUUCUUCUAUAUUUUUUAAUCUUUUCGGCAGGAAAAAAAAUAUUUUUUAUUUUUAUUUUUUAUUAUUAUUCUUUUUUUUUUCUAUAAUCUUUUUUUGUCACCAUCUCUCCCUUGCUCUCUAUCGCAACCACCACGACGUCGUCGGAGGCAAUCUCGCCGCCUCCAACGACAUCUCGGUGUUCCAACACACGGUGGAGGAGAAGAGCCUGUGUCUUGACGUCGUCAUGUCCUAGUGGAGAAGGAGGGUCGCGGCGCGGCCUCAGCAGGGUCGGAGGUAAGGAGCACAGUGGUGCACGGGCGAGGGCGAGGGCGUGUGAGGCACAGGCAUGGCGGGCUGUUUCCGCCUCCACCUUUGCUAUCUUCUUCGGAGAGAGAAAAAAAGAACGAGAGAAAAAAAAAAAAGAGGAGAGAGAAAAAACAAUAAGAGUAUUUUGGUCAGUUUGCUAAAAAUCUAGCACGAAUCUACAAAAUCGAAAAAUGUGGCCCACUUUUGCAAAAGCGCAAAACUAGUGGAUUUUUUAUGCAAAUUGGUCUUCAACUUUUAUCUUUAUUCUAUUAAGAACAUUUCCGUUUAUUUAUAGUAAACAACUUUUUGACUCAGAAGUCUUAUUAGUUGGAAAGCAUUAAAAUAGUGAAACUCAUCAGUAUCAAGAUCAGUGUUAUGUUUAUCCAAAAGAUAGGGUGAAUUAGGAUGAUUAGAUCUAGAAUAAAUUGCAAGUUGGUCCUGAAACUAUGAGUCAGUAAGUAAUAUUGUUAUUUUAAAUUAAUUAAUUGGUAAUAAUUUUUUUUAUUGUGUAAUUAUAGUGAUGAUAAAUUUUAUAGCCAUUUUAUCUUUGCAACCUAUGCUAUUUUUUGUUGUAGUGGUGGUAGGGGCACAAUGAGGACAAGUUGAUGUACAUUUAGAUUUUUUGAAUUUAUUAUCUAGUUGAUAUCAUUUAUAAUAAUGACAUAUGUACUAUUUCUUUAUCAAAGAAUUAUUAGGCUAAAUUACAUAAAACCUUUAUGUCAAAAUCCGAAUUUUUACUUUUCUCUCCUGUCAUUUAAAAACCUACACUUUGCCCCCUUAUAAAAUAAAAAAUUUUCACAAGGGGGUAUAGGGUGAACUGUGAUGAUAAAAUAACCAUUUUGAUCCUCACCAUUUUCGUUUACUCCAUCAUCUUGCUCAUCCGCUGCCUCGAUCCGCCUCGAUCUUGCUCAUCCGCCGCCUCGCUCAAACUGAAUCGGAAUUGAAAUAAACUUCCCAUUGUCAGUAUUUAGUUUAGAUAGAUAUCAUAUAUGAAAUUAAAUUAAUAUACCAAUUUUAUCCUUAUAAUACAUUUUAGUUACUUUUAAUCAUUUUGCAUGCUUUAUUUAAAAUAUAAAUGAGCAACUUAUAAAAUAAUUAAUGAAACGUAAGACAGUUUCAUAUUUUUAUAAUUAUUUAAUUGAAAAUAAGCUAUUUAUUAUUAUGUUUUAUUAUAAUAAUUAUAUUGUAACAUAUAAAUUACAAAAUUUUAGAUGAUUCUAACAAAUAGAAUAGUUAACAAAAAAUAAUUAUUUCCUCAAAAAAAAAUGAAAAAAGUCAUAUUUUCAAUAUCAAUACUAUACCAAACUAAGAUUAUUAGCAACAAUAUAAAAUUAUCCAAAAUAAUAUAUCAUUAUUAAAAAUGUUAUUAAAAUUUCAAAUAAAAUUACUCAAAAUUAUGAUACUAUAAAUAAAAAUAAAUUUCUUAAUAUUUCUGCUGAAUCCAUUGGAAUUUGGAUUGACAAGAUAAUUUAAAAUUGAGUUUGGAACUAAAAACAUAGAAUUUUAUAAUUUAAAUUUAAAUUAAAAAUAAAAUAUUAAAAAUUUACAUCGAAAUUUUUAAAUGAUGUCAACAUUUUAGAUAUAUUUUUAUAAAAAAUUUAAAUUUGAAAUUGAGUGGAUAAUUCAAAAUAUAAAAGUAUAUUUCAAUUUAUUCAAAUUCAAACUUAAAAUUACAAUUUAAAUUUCAAUUUAAUCCAUCAAAUUUAAUUUAAAAUUUAAAUAAAAUUUAUAUAGUGUUCCGGAGGUUUGGAUCGGAUUGGCUACAGUAUUAGUAACUGGUCAACACAUUUGGAGAGUAUCGGACUGAGUCGGAGUCGUUUCUGCACGAAAUAGAUGCAGAAAUGGGCUUGGUGCACUCAAAUAAGCAAAACUGAAGUUUUGCCAGUUUCGGGCGCCCAGAACAUGGUUUGGGUCGCCCAGAACUGAAUGUAAAUUUAACUGAAAUUGGAAGCCAAUUUGGAUCCAAGGUUCCGGGUGCCCAGAAGUGGAUCCGAAUGUCCACGUUGGGAAUAUUGACUGUGCUGACACGUGUAUGUGGUAGGUGAGUUCCGUCGGACCAGAUUUUGGGCGCAGCAAACCGCAGGCGGAGGAGCCGAUGAGGAAGUGAGGUAUGGCCUCGAGGAUUCAGAUGCCCAGAACUUGAUUUCGGGCGCCCGAAAGUGGCCGCUUCUGCAGGAACAGCAGGUUAGCCUUCUCUGUUCCUAGGGAUUACUUUAUCCUUUCUUCUCUCUAUAAAUAGCUUGUGUUCGCCCCCUGAGAAGCUUUUUCACCUCUCCUUCACAGAGAAGUCUACAAUUACAUUCGAACCCCUCUAAAUUUCCCAAUUUGCACAAUUACACCUUGAGGAUUACUAUUUUAGCAAAAUUCCAGCAGCGACUUUCGGCGUUUUGGUUCGUGUGCGACGUAGGAAGCUCCUGCUGCGAAAUUUGGUUUGUUGGUUAGUAGACUUCUUGGAGAUUUUGUGGAGCCCAUUUUGACGGCAUUUGAUUGAGGUUAGCUUAGUCAAUUUGGCAUUUUUCUCUGCUCCUGAUGUUUUUUGAGCUGAAAUUGAGUUUUUAUUGGUUUUCUUGGAUCAAUUCUUGGAGAGAGCUAGAAUUUCAACCAAAGGAGGUUGCUCCACCUUUCCUUACUGGUUUUGAGAGUGUCCUUCACCUAAAUUGUGGAUUUGAAGUUUAAUAGGUGAGUUUUGACAUUGGAAUUGAAGGAAUUAAGCUUAAUGGCUGAUUUUUGGUACAUUGAUGGAAUUUUGGUGAUUUUGUGUGUAGGUCUUUGAUGUAGUGUUGUUGCUGGUUCAGAUUAAUCCCGGCUGAGUUCUCCUAGCUACUUUGCGACUUCUAGCCUUGUUGGCCUCGCGCUAGAGGUGGGUUAAUGUUAUGCUUACCGGAUUCUACGGAAUUACUCCUAAGUCUAGUUUGUUGUCGACAUGUAUUUUCCGUUUUGUAUAACAUUUUUAGUAGCUUGAUUCGUUGAUUUACUGUGUUCCUAAAUCUGAAUUGGAGCUUAGAAUAUUAGUUAAAUUAUACAUGUUGAACUUGAAAUUGACUUAGGAGAAAACUAGUGAUUCUAUACCGUCAUUUGCUAAAACUACCAGAUUUAGCUCUAGAAGCCAUAGUUUAUUUGUAUCGCCGCAGUUUGUGGGCGGUGGAUAUCCCGAUUAAUGUAGAAUGCAUUUAUGCUCGUGCUAGGAUGCCAAGCUUAAUUUUACAGCAGUGUUUAGGCUGUUCUGGACUGUCGGGUGCCGUUGAGGUUGACGAUGGACCCAGAUUGCUGUUUUUGCAUCAGAUUGUACUAAGGGCACGUGAGUUUGGUUGUUAGACCCUGUUUACCUGGAUUAUAGUCUGUGAGAGCCUGAUUGAGCUCGGCAGAGAUACGCUUACAUACUCGGUUCGGUAGCGCCCACUAGUGCCACUCCGGAGUCGGGCUUAGUGCGUUUGCGUUGGUGUCGUUGUGUCCUAAUUGGACUCGCUCUCCACUGACUACCCGGAGUGGUGGUUGUUAGUGUAGUUUCGAUAGGCGGGACGAGUGUAUUCACAGUCCCUAGUGAGAUUGGGUCAGAGAUUGCAUUGUUCUACAAAUAGUUAGUGUUGGAUCAUGAUAGUAUAGUGAUAUAUAGCUGUAGAUUGUUUCCAGUUUCUUUACUAUCAUUGAACAUACCUUCUGUAGACUUAGUGGGUGAGCCGUUGAGGUCGGUAACAGUACCCACUGAGGACUACUUCUUUUUGCAGUAGUUCUCUGUCACUCCCCGGGAGCCAGUGGAAGCCCGCCCGGCGCAUCCCCAGUCCCGUCAUAUGUCUGAAACUGUAAGGACUGAGAUUUUGACAGUGCAACUAAACUCUCUGUUGACGAUGUUCCUGUGUGUAAUUUAAUUACAUAAGUACUCGUUAAGUUUCAGAAGAAAAUGAGCUAAAACGAAGAAGUUACGCGAUUAUUAGUUUUCACUUAAGUGAAUACUAACUCCAGUUUUUCGGAGAAGCCACGGAGUAGAGUUGGCUUUCGGCGCGUAUCGGACUCCGUUCAUAGCGAUCCAAUAGCUCGUUUCGAUCGGUCCAGCUAUUCUGGAACCAAUGGCACUGACGGAUUUCAGAUCCGAUGCACGAUUUUUCAGAAAAUAGAGUUUUAACAAAAAGAGGGUUUUCGCUCUUUGCUAUUCGUGCAUUUUAAAACUCCUCGUGCUUUGUACAAGUGAUCUGGAGAUGGGUGAGAGAUGUUUCAAGUACCUACUAGUGGUAGGGAAAUCAAAUACGGGUUUGAAUUAAAGGAUUUCAGGUUUCCACCAAGGCCUAUGCAUGAUAUAUGGAUUAGUUGGUGAGAGGUUGGAUUUUGUCGCAAAUCGGCAAGUAAAUCGGAUGAAACGAAAUCGUAGUUUCGAUGUCCUCGUCGUGCUGAACGCGAUGGCUCUAUCGGAUUGAAAAUCCGACGGAUGGAUUUUCGGGAAACGCGAAAUGUUCGCUAAGGGGUCGAAGGUGGCAAAUCGGAAACUUCGCAAAAGUCAUUGUAUUUUAUGUACCAAAUCGCUUGAGAUCGAAUGUGGAGGUGCGUAUGUGCAAUAUUUACCUACUGUAAAGCACUGGGUUAGAAAUAUAUAACUUCGGGGGAGCUAUCUGCAAUUGUACACUAGGUAUAUAAGGUGCAUCUAGGGUUUCCAUGCAUGAAACCCUAGAUUUAGCCGACCUAGUUCCCUCAACUAACCCUAGCCGACCUCAGAUAGCCCUGCCCUAGCCAUGCUCGCACCCCGGCCGCCGGCAGGUUCCCCCCGAUCGCCGGAAAACUAGAACCCGGCACCUCCUCCAUCCUUCUCUCUCAACCAUCCAUCAACCUCCUCAUUUCUAUCCAAGGGCAACCCAGGAGUGUUCAUCACGGUCGGCACCAACUCUGGCAGCCGCCCGCGACCUCCGCCGUCCGCCGUGCCGCCGCCGCCGUCUCCCACGCGCCGCCGUCGCGGCCUGGACCAUCAUACGGGCCGAGCUGAGCCUUCGUGGCCUCCGCGCGUCGCCCCGCCUAUGGUGGGGACACCACUCCCCCUCGGCCUCCGCCGCGCGUUCGUCGCCGCCCCGACCUCCUCCGGCCGCCGCCGCGCCGCCGGGAAGAUCGAACCCGAGAGGGAGUAGGUGGAGUCGAUCUCCUCCGCCGCCCACGGUUGCCUCCCGCCGCCGGCCAGCACCAUCCCCGACCUCUCGGACCGACUGCUUCCAUCUCCGGCCGGACCGCCCGCCUCCCGGCCGUGGCGCCAACCCUACUCCCCCCUCACUGUGAGUGUCCAUUUAUGAAUUCCAGCACUGUUUUCCCACUUUCCGGUAACUAUUCCGGCAAUCCGAAUGGUCUUUUUUGACCUCGGAAAGUGAGCACGAUGAUCCUUGGGUCGUGCUGAACGUCGUGCUCACUUCCGUCGAGACCUACGAUGCUUGGUUGCUCGGCAACCGCGAUCUUCCUGCAGUGCGCGCUGCUUCGCUGACUACGCGUCGCUUGUGCGCGCACCGCAGUCGCCGAAUGUGCACCGCAGUCGGUAUGCCCUGAGGGGUGGGAUUGUUCGGUUAGUUGCCGACGGAUGAUUAUACUUUACUCAUAUCCUAUACUUGUGACAUGAUUGGUCGAGUUUCAUAUCCUGUACUUGUGACGUGAUUGGUCGAGUUUCAUAUCCUAGUUGAUCUGAGUGGUCAGUCCUUGUGGUUCAUUGAGCAGUAUUUGCAUAUGUUUGAGAGGAUGUCGAUGUUGUCCCAUCCUAGUUGGCCUGAGUGGUCGGUUCUUGUGCUUCUUUACAGUUGACGACCUAUGCGGUCGAUGGGCCCUGGGGGGCAGGAUUGUCGGCUGGUUGCCGACGGUUGAUCGCCCGAUACUCGUCGCAUUUCACGAACACCGGCGGUCUGAUCCACCGCAAUGAGUGUUUUUUUCCGGAAAAGUGAUUGAAUGGUGACAACCCGUGAGCCCUAGAGGGGUUAUAUGCACUGGAGAGUAUAGUGGCACUGGCUUGAGGUCUGCGGUGCUGACCAAGAGAGCAUUGGUUUCAGAUUGGGUACUUUUGGACUUCUUGACCGGUUGACGCAUAUGUCUAUAGUAGCAGUCGUUGCAUGCAUACUUACAGUUCUUACUUUAUAGUUGUCUUACUACUAUAGUAGAUAUUCAUGUAUGCUUUCUGUUCCAGUUACAGUAGCGGUAGCCGUUAUUCAGUCUAGUUCCUACUUUCUUUCAGUUUAUUGCUACUGUAUUCAGUAUAUCUGCUCAUCACCUUAUACAUCUCUUUCGUUUAUUAUUGUUCCUACUAUAUUUUCACUAACCGGUGUUGUUGUAUAGCUCUUCCUGAUCCGGUGAGUACUCCUCGCCUUCUUCGGCUUGCGGUACCCACUGGGAGGGGAGACAUGUUUACAUGUUCUCACCUCCCCCACUAUUUUUCAGGUAUCGCGGGCGGUGAGGGUUGAGACUGGACGCGAGAUACGUAGCGGUCGAUAGAGCUUCCGACCCAGGUUAUUCGGUUUAGUUCUACCCUUACUAUUAUGUUGAUAUAGCUUAGAUAGUUUAUAUGGUUCAGUAUAUUUUAUUACAUUUGAAAAUAUGGGUUUUCAUGAAUGUAAUAAAUGGAUUUGUGAAUUUUGUGAGAUGGAAAGGUUUUCUACCCCUCGUGGUAGUGUUUUUAAAGAAUAAAGGUUUCUGUAUAGGAACAGCUUUCAAAAGAAUUUUCUGUAGAUUUAUGUUUAAAUAUUAAAUGCAAAUCUGUGAUGUAAAUGGUGAAUGUAUGAAUGAAUAAUUAUUUCUAUAUUCACUUAGAUGUGGUUGUAUCCUGUUUGUACCGUUGUACUUGUGCGACGCCGUGCAAAUACAGGGGAGACUCUGUCUGUGUGAACAGUGGAAUCCCUGUAUUUGUGGCGGAUCUUGCAUACUCUGGGGUCAGGUUUUCAAAAAAAAAAUUUAGACGCUUUUUCCGCUGUGUUCAAAUAAAAAGGGACCCCGGGGCGUGACAGAAACAUACAAGACAUCUAAUACAAAACGAUAAAUAAGGCAAUAGAGGAAGAAUAUCUAAGAGUAUUAGAGCAAAGUAUAUCUACAAGCUACAAUAAGGGAAAAGAACAUAAAGCUCCACUAUGUAAAAACAUAAAGUAAUACAAUAGGAGUCCCAAAAAUAAGAGCUAAACUAGGUACCUAGGUGGUCUCUAUACAUGGUACAAAAUCUCUCUCACAGAAAAAAAUACGAAAAGUAGAAAGUAACCACCUAGGAGCAAAAGCGAGCUCCGCUCUAUCUAGCUAGCCGACACCCUUGCCGCGAUCCCGUGCCUCCACCGGUGCCGAAGGCUCUGAAAGAAAAUCAUAAAACAGAGGGCGUGAGAACUAUAUAUUAAAUAAUAGUUUCCAGUGGGCAAUUACUGACUUCAAUGAAAAGCGCUACUAGGCCCAAAAGCUACAAAAAAGGGGGUCAGUAGAUAAAUAUAAGUAAGAGCGAUAAGUACAACGUGUAAAUAAACAAGAAUGCUUGCUUCCACAAGAUAUCUAUACCUAGCAUGAUUUUGCUCAAGUAAUAAAAGGCUACACUAGUAUGAAUGUACCAAAGUAUCACUAGUAUGAUGUCCACAAGCUAAAUAGUAAAGAUGUUAUUGUUUACUAUUCUAGUCAAUGUCCACAUGGCAUGAUGAAUGCUCAAAGUCAAAUCUGAAGAGACCCGCCCGAAGGCUGUAUGGCCCUGAGACCCACCCGUAAGCUGUCUGGCCGGUGCCGAGCCUAAUGGCCCCGUGGUAGUCAACAUCCCCACCCUAAGGAUGAGCCUAGCCCACGGCAAUCCACUUCGGCGCCCAAUCCCGCACGGCGAAUAUGUACCGCGAUGGCCAUCUCCGGAGUGCCAGCUUGUAGGAAGCGACCCUCACAAGCAUGUGCGAAUGAGCACAAUGGCAAGUAACCAAAAGAUCCGUCUCAAGUACCAAGUCCUCAUGUCUAACAACAUGGAAUACGUCACAUCUCUCAUAGGCCUAUCUCUAUGUCAUCAUGUCUCUAAUAUGGAAUAUAAAAAAUGUCAAUUGCCUAUCACGAAGUCUCAGAUAACAGUUUCAUAGUUUGCUAGUCCAAGUGCCCCUUUAUGAUACUUUUGGUCUCUAUGUCCAAGUAUGAUAAUUAUGUUCAUAAAUGCAUAAUUCUAAUCAUUUUCAUCGUACGAGACAAGUACCCAACUCGCAAAGAGAACCACUUCUCACAUGCAUGCAAAAACCCAGAACACCCUACUACAUAGAGUGAAAAUUUUAUGAUACAUAAGGCAUGCAUUUUAAGUGUUCUAAAAUUCACAUAAAUUCUAUUUAAUAUGAAUAUGCAAUCAAAUUGAUGUUACGACAAGUAUAGAAUACAUAGGGGUCAUUUCUCCCCGAUUUCAUGAAGUCAAACCCACCACAACUCUUGCAACUCUUCGUAAGCUCCGACGAAGAUACCCACUAGUCUCCUAGCACCCUAAAGAUGUAGAAACAAGAGUCGAACGAACCUUACGAACAAUACAGGGCUCAAUCAUUAACCAUCUCAAGCUAAGGUGGAGAAAAACUCACCAAUUGUGAAGGAAGCUCUCUCGAUCUCCAAAUGGGAGUUAGAGUCCUUCAAAUCUAACCUAAACAACGGUUCUAAGCCAAUCAAUUGGGUCUCAAAGCCCUCAAAUCGAAAAUCCCCAAAAUAAAUCCUAAAUCUCAAAAUCUAGGGUUUCAUCUAGUUUAAAGCUCCAAAACUAGAAUCUGGAGGAAGAAACUAACCACUUAGCUCUAGAAUGCUCCAAACCAAGCUCAAAAUCCUCAAGGGUUGAAGAUUGAUCUUCCACAAAGCUCCAACCACAAGCUCUAAGCCACCAAAGGUGAGAAACGAGGGAGAGGGAGAUGCUUGCUCUCCUUCUACUCUUUCUUCUUCUUCUCCUUCUUCUUCUCUUUCUAGAGAGUGUAGAGAGAGUGUGAGGGAGAGAAAUGAUGGUGAGAGGGAGAGCAAAUGGCCCUAAAAGCCCUCUAAAGCAACAAAAUCCACUUAGGUCCCUCAAAAAUCCAACCUGUGCACUGCCCGGGUCUGGGCUGUUUUCGCCCAGAGGGACCGGUCCUCCCAACUGGGACCGGUCCCUCAGGACCCUCCUGCAGAACAAGCUCUCGGGAACCGGCCUCUUCCUGCCAGGGACCGGUUGCCUCAAGUCCUGCCGCAACACUAUUCUGGGGAUCUCCCACCAGGGACCGAUCCCCGAGAGUGAAAACUCUCAAGACUUAGCCAAAAUCCAGAAUUUCGAACUUUUAGGUCGAAAUACCGUCUACGGCCUUCCACCAAGUGUGGAAAAGCUUGGAAUCCAUAUCAAACAUUCGAACCUUGCAAUUUGCACAAGUCCAGUGUGUUACAUUCUCACACCCACUUGUGGAUCUUUUGCAGAGCCUUCAGUUGCUGCUGCUGCUGCUACUGAUACUGAUCGUGGGAAGGGUGUUGCGAGUUAGAGCCCUUCCUGACGAGUUACAGAGCUAGAGGAGUACCAGCUACAGAUAGUUGUAGUUUUUUGGUCCUUAUACAUACUGAUGUUGUAACUUGCUGAAGCGAGUGUUUUUGUAUCUGGAUACUAUAUAUGUAUGUUAAACCAAUGUUAUAUAUGUGUUUUUCUUUUUAGCAGCUCUAUAUUACUAGUUGUAGUAUUGUAUGAUUACAGGUACAGGUACAACUAUUGCUUUCUUAUACAUAAAAAAUUUCUAUAUAUACGGCGGGGCGGGUCUGUUAGCGUGCCCGGAAAAACGAGUAAUCCAAGGCAUGACAGAUUAAGUUGGCAUCAGAGCUUAGCAUUUGGUUGUUGGGACCUAGGAACCUUAAGUUUGGCAAACCUUAGGAGGAUAAGACGCGAGAGGCGUGAUUUAUCGCGAAAAUCAAUGAUUGAUUAGUUUUAACUCUUCCUAGAGUGGAGUGAGUGACUGAAGAAGUGUCUGUUUCGGCCAAGAAAAUUUUAGCGGCUGCAGACGACAUAAUUUUAAGGAGAAACAGGGCCUUCUAGACUUUCGUUUGAUUGGGUCGAGAGUAUUUGUAUUUUUGUAUCUGACCCUGAUUUCUUUUCAUGCAGCUACGUACCGACGCCGACGUUGACCGCCGACCAGGGAUCGCGCCGCACCUCCUGAGAUGCCUGAAUAGGCAGAGCCGAGUGCACGACCAGAGGCGAGCGCACCCCUUGAUCUGAGGGAUCAGUUGGCUGCCCUAACUGAGGUGACGAGGCAGCAGGGGGCGUUGUUGUAGAGGAUAUGCGAGACAUUUGUUCCGUCGCCGAGCGCAGUACCGAGAGCAUCAGAGUAGGCAACUCCACGCCCGACUACUCCAGUUACAACACCAGCCGCAGCUGUAUCUCCACCAGUGGCAGUUCCCAUAGCGCCAGUUGCAUCUUCUGGAGAGGCGUUACAAAUAACUAAGGCUGAGCAGGAGCGGAUGACCGAGAGGCUGGCUCGUUUUCACUGUUUUGAUCCGCCGACCUAUGACGGCAGCUGCACGGAGCCCUGAGUUGUAGAGGGCUGGGUCAGCGCGAUGGAGAAGUUAUUUGAGGAUUUGUUUAUUCCUGAGUGGGAGUAGGUACACUUGGGAGUUCACUGCUUUGCCGACAAUGCACAUACUUUGUGGAGGAGGAUGAGAAUAGACCGAGGGUUAGUGGCAUUGCAGAUGAGAUAGGAUGAGUUCUGUGGAAUGCUGUAUGGGAUAUAUUUUCCCAACAGUGUGAAGCAGAAGCUCGAGGAGGACCUGAAGAGGCUUCAGCAGGGGGAGCGAUCAGCUCAGGAGUACAUCCGUGAGUUUACUCGACUCCUGAACUGUGUUCCAUUUGUAGCCAGAGAUUAGGCACGCAGGGUGUAUCUUUUUUAGCGAUGAUUGAGAUCAAAGAUUUUCAGGUUUAUACAGGCGCAGAGGUUGAGAACCUUGGACGCGUCUAUGGAGCAGGUUUUGUGGGUAGAGAGAGGUGAUGCAUCUAUUCGGGAGCAGACCCAGAGACCGGUGUAGAGUCAGGACAGGAAGCGCCCCUUUUCAGAUGACGGAGGAUAGUCGAGCAGCAGACGUUCACCGAGGCCUCCACGAUCACGUUCUCAGAGUCGUGGGUCUUCAGGGCGUCAGCGUCCAGAGGAUCUCGUCAGUAGGGGCAGUCACAGAGGACUCCACAGUGUGUUAUUUGUGGGGGCCACAUUGGCCCCGACAGUGUAAGCAGAGAGAGGGCCGCUGUUUUACUUGUGGUCAGUCAGGACAUAUAAGAUCAGCUUGUCCCCGAGCAACAUCACCUGUACCAUCGACAGCGUAAGCGCAGCCAGCACCUCAGCAGUCUGAAUUGGAGCAGCAUCACCAGCAUAUUUAGUAGCUUGAUUUGUUUAUUUACUGUGUUCCUAAAUCUGAAUUUGAACUUAGAAUAUUAGUUAAAUUAUAUAUGUUAGACUUAAAAUUGACUUAGGAGAAAACUAGCGAUUUUAUACCGUCAUUUGCUAAAACUACCAGAUUUAGCUCUAGGAGUCCUAAUUUGUUUAUAUCGCCGGAGUUUGUGGACGGUGGAUACUCUGAUUAGUAUAGAAUGCAUUUACGCUCGUGUUAGGAUGUCGAGCUUAUUUUUACAGCAGUAUUUAGACUGUUAUGACCUGUCAGGUGCCAUUGAGGUUGACGAUGGAUCCAGAUUGCUAUUUUUACAUCAGAUUGUGCCGAUGGCAAGUGAGUUUAGUUGUUAGACCCUGUUUUUCUGGAUUAUAACCUGUGAGAGCCUGAUUGAGUUCGGCAGAGAUACGCUUGCAUACUCGGUUAGGUAGCGCCCACGAGUGCCACUCCGGAGUCGGGCUUAGUGCGUUUGCGUUGGUGUCGUUGUGUCCUGGUUGGACUCGCUCUCCACUGACUACCCAGAGUGGUGGUUGUUAGUGUAGCUUCGAUAGGCGGGACGAGUGUAUUCACAGUCCCUAGUGAGAUUCGGUCAGAGAUUGCAUUGUUUUACAGAUAGUUAGUGUUGGAUCAUGAUAGUAUAGUGGCAUAUACCUGUAAAUUGUUUUCAGUUUCUUUACUAUCAUUGAAUAUACCUUCUGUAGACUUAGUGAGUGAGCCGUUGAGAUCAGUAGUGGCACCCACUGAGGACUACUUCUUUUUGCAGUAGUUCUCACACCUAGUUGUGGAUCUUUUGCAGAGCCUUCGGUUGCGGCUGCUGCUACUACUGAUACUGAUCGUGAAAAGGGUGUUGCAAGUUAGAGCCCUUCCUGACGAGUUACAGAGCUAGAGGAGUACCAGCUACAGGUAGUUGUAGUUUUUGGGUUCUUAUACAUACUGAUGUUGUAACUCGUUGGAGCGAGUGUUUUUGUAUCUGGAUACUAUGUAUAUACCAAUGUUAUAUAUAUGUUUUCUUUUUAGCAGCUCUAUACUACUGGUUGUCGUAUUGUAUGAUUACAAAUAUAGAUACAGCUAUCGCUUCGUAUACAAGUAAAAUUUCUAUGUAUACGGCGGGUCUGUUAGCGUGCCCGGAAAAAUGAGUAAUCCGGAACGUGACAGUUUACAUCAAACUAUAAAAUUUAAAUUAAAUUUUAAUUUAAUUUAAAAUUUGUAAAUUAGAUUUGAAAUGCUUGAUUGAAUUUUAAUUUUUAAUUCAAGUUCAGAUUAAAAUUUAAAAUUAUAAAUUUAAUUUCUAAAUUUAAACUUUUAUAUUUUAAAUAAAAAAUAAGGUUAAAAAAUUAAAUUUAAUUUGAGCAAAGAUCCACCACUCCAUCCGGAUUCAACUUUCAAAUCGGCAUACUAGGCCGGAAUGGAAAAGGGGGUGCUUGGGGGAUUCCUAAUCUACUCGGGAAUCAGAAUUAGAAUAGUACUCCUGCGGAACAAACAUGUACAAAUGGAAUCGUGCAUUCUGAUUUCGUUUCCUCGGUGAAAAAUGGGCGAACCAAACACGCCUCCUGAUGAUACAUUGUAUUUUAAUUCUAUACUUUCAAGAAAAAAAUUGGAGGAAGCUAAAAGCGAUGGUGAAUAAUUACCUGCAUAUAUUAUGUGAUCGCCGCAUAUUACGUGGCGAUCCAUUUAUUGUAUUGUUUAAUAUUCUGCACUAUUCUUCGACUUAGACUUAGCAAAAUUUAAGACUUAACAAAAUUUAUGAAAAUGUGGCAGUAGAAGCUUAAAGAAAGUGAAUGAAUUACCGUAUUUAAAAAAAGUAAAUUAUUUAUUACUUGUAGGAGAUUAUGUAAAUUUUAUAAUGAAAAACAACACACUUNUUUUUUUUUUUUUUUUUUUUUUUUUUUUGUGGUUUACCGUUUUUGUGUUUUAUGCUACCUCACGCAUGACAGAAAUAUAUUUACUUUUUGCAAUAAAAAUUUUAGAUGCCUAUAUUUGUAAUUAAAAACCUUUGUAGGCUUAGAAACCCUUGAGACGAACCAGGAGUGUAGUGUGACGGACCUGGACCUGGAGCCUUGCGAGGCGGAUAAGGUAAUGAAUUCUUGGUCUCCCAUGUCAUUACGGACAAUCUUGGUCAUCUGCCCUUCAUCUAGGCACUUUUAGGCUGAUUUAGACUCAGAUGAUAACCUAUUCAAUGUAAAAUUUUAUUUAUUUUAUUCUUAAAAAUUGACUUCAAAACUGUACCCGCUUCUCCUAUCCGGAUCUAAACAUUUGAUCUCAAUCCUGACUUACAAUUACAAUAAAACACUCUCGUACCAAAUAAAAUUUUACCGAGUAACUUAUUCCAGCAUCCAAUCCCUUAAUAAAGCUUGUUAUUUUGAGAGUUUAAUAAUCAUAUUCUGUAGAAACUGACUAUCAAAAGAAAUGAUUGAUGAGGAUAUAAACUAACCAGCGGUGCACAAGCGACCGCAGAGCAGGAUGCCGAAGCAUGCAGAGCACCUCGUCUCACCACUUGAAUGAAACUUAAAAACAUAACUCCAUUUGCUUUUGAAAAGCCUACAUACGCAAAUUAUUCUACCUGCAAAAAGUAUUACAUCAGAAAUAAAACACCCGAAAGCACUACUUGCGCCCAAAACUUUUUCCUCCAAUCCUAUUUUUAGGCAGAAACAAAGAACACCCCCCUCCCCCCAAUCCAAUUAUUUUCUUCAUUCACUGCUUGGCCACAAAGGAUUUUAUAAUUCUAACAAUAACAAGGUGAUAGGAAUAAAGAGGACGGUCAUUCAGCUGCUAAAGAAUUACAAUAUGAGCUUAUGGUACACGAACUGAUGACGAUCUAAAAGGUCUAGUCAAAGUUAUUAAGUUGGUGAAAAAGCAUUAACACAUGGCUUGUUGCUACAUAGAAAAUCAAGUAAAGCAUACCCAACAGCUCUCUCUCAUAGGCAGCACCCUCAGUGGGUGCAGACAAAUGUCCAUUUAGCAGAGUAUGUUACAAGAAAGCCAUUUCAAAAAGAAAAGAAAAUCUUCGUUUAGCUUCCGCUCAGAAACUUUGCCUCGUAGUAUUGUGGAGACUGCGAAAAAAGAGUAAAGGUAAAAACUCAUUCAGAAAACUAGUACUGCAGCAGCAAAUAUCAGACAGUAAAAAUGCUAGAAUAGCUUUUACCAGAUAACUUGCUGUGAUCAUCUUUCCAGCAAACCACCUCCCAUGGAGCGCCCGCUGUGCAUUCAUGGCCGAGGAUGCACUAUCAAACCGUAGAUAAACAAAGCCAGCACUGUUUCUGCUCUCCACAUUAAAAAGAACAUGGUGAAACAAAACAGUCUACAGUAGGGUGCAGGGAAAAAAAAAAUCACUACUAAUUCUCGGCAAAGGACAUAUAUUUCCUUUAAACUACCCUAGUUCAUCAACAGAAAAGUUAUUGGAGUACCCAAAGAAAGGGGGUAAGAAGAGUCUGACUAGAGCGUGGUACAGUUUAGCCUACGGCAAAGAAACAUUGGAUUUUCUUUGUGAUUCUGCGUCUAUAUAAGACCAUACACGCUUGCAUUAAGUUUCUUAGCUACUUGUUUGCAAAUAUUUGUUCAAUUUCAUAAGAUUAAAUCAGCCACCUGUAGCAUAAUAUCAUAUACAAAUAACAAAACUUGCCUCCCGUCUAGCCCUUAGCUAUCAUAGACAAACCAAAUUGAAGGACCAAAGGAUUAUCUACAGGGUUCAAUCCUCUAAAUUCAAAUUCACAAAAAAAGAUCCAGCAAGACAACCUUCCCCUUGCGCCUAAAAGGUCACUAGAACAUAACGAAAUCCAAGUAUAUUUCAUUCCAUAUCUGCCGGGCGGUCAUCAUUGCCAUUUCUUGUUAUCAUUAGAAGGAUUUGGAGAGAUUCCAAGGCCAAUUCUAGUUUUAUCUAGUACUCUAUUUACAAAUAAGGGAACCCACGUGUCAUAAAAAGGGAUUUGCAUUUCUUGUAUGUCUUAACAUCUAAAACAAUAAAAAAGAAGCUGAAUAAGGACAUAAUUCUCAUUUUGUAAUAUAAUGAGACCGAAUGCCAACGUGAUUCUAGCCAGCUAGUGAGGCAUGUAUCAUGAUGAACAUGUACAGAGCAGGGUAACACAGGAACAUACGUGGUAGCUCAAACCUUGAAAAUGACUCCAAGGUUACAUCUUACUUUUCUAAUAAAUGAAAGCGCUUAGGCAGCAAACAGGAAUACUAGAAUAAGUUGAUGAAGAAAUUAUAAACUCAGAAAAGGAACUACUGUUUUCAAACACAAAAGACUUUGUAAGGACAGAGCACCGCUUAAAAUAAAGUAUGAGGUAAAUAAAGGGAUAGGAAUGAAAACCAAUCCCACAAUCUCAAAAUAAUAGUACCGAAUAUUUUCUUAUUUUUGUUCCAGAUAUAUAAGAUGUCAAAACAGGACGAGAUACUGUAAAAGAGUCUCAAACUCAAUAUACCUUACACUUUGUGUGCAACAUGUGAUGAAAUUUAACGAAGAUAGAGCAAGGGAGCUAGAAAGCACCUAAAAUAACAGUUAUGACCAAAAACACUUGGCAUCAGAAUACAAAAUACAGCUUGAGGUACAAAGUAAGAGAAGCAAGAUCUUUUUAGGUUAAAACAAGGCUUUAUCCUGAUGUCAUCUUAUUGUAAAUGACACUGAAAGAAGCUAGAGAAGUGCAGUUGUACUCAGCUAGAGAAGUGCAGUUGUACUUUCAAGUUAAUGCUUAUAAAAAAGUUGAGUUCCGCAGAAAAACAGAGAGAAUAAUAUAUGGCUAUAACCGGAAACAAGCAUAACCAACUGAUGUUUAAUCUUUGCAGUAUUAGCAAAUCAUCUAGAAGAAAUUGAACACAUAAAGAAGCAACUCUGACUUACUUGUCCACAAAAAUGUGCUUCACUGUGCCAAAUUUGGAACAUUCCUCUGAAACAUCAUCUUUAAUAUCUAAAUCAAAAUCAGGUUCCGUCUGCAAAGAAAAGUGUGCAUAGAAACCUUCAGUUCAGAAAAGCAGAUUUAGACACAUAAAACGCAGAGAUAAGAGCUUUAAAACCAACCAACCUCCACACUUGGAUCGAACAUAUUCUUCAGCAACAAGCAUUCACUAGGAACAGCAGACUCGACAGAAGGCAUGCUAAGGCUUGGAACUGGAAGAAGACCUGAAGCAGGUACUCCUCCAAUAGGAGGCACAGUGGUUGGUAGAAAUGGAUUAGCCAGUGGAGGAGCACCAAGAACUGAUGCAGCAGGCAGAGGAAGCGCAGCAGUAUUGGCCGCAGGAGCAACAAGCCCACUAGUCAUGCUGCAGAUAAAGCAACAAUGUAAAAAAGCAUGACCUCAAAACUGGUGUUUGCAAGAGAAAAGAAAAGGGUAAAAUAUGUACUAUAAAUAUAUAAACUAUCCCAAUAACAAGAAUGGGACCUCGAACUUUUCACUUGAACAAUGUUAAUCCCUGAAUAUCCAUAUAUAUUGCACUUUGGUCCCAGACCAUCACAAAGAAAUCUAAUAUAUAUUGCACUUAUUCUGGUUUACUUCAAACAGCUUUAGAAUGCCAUGCUCCAAUAAACUUGCAUUUUCUGAGGAUCAAAGAGACAAAGACAAAACUGCAAUACAUGUGAAAGUCUAAAGAUUAAAGUGUUCAAGUAGAGAAACCAAGUUGUUAUAUCAGAAUAGUAAAGGGGCUAUCAAUAUAUUUUACCCUCCAAAGGAGAGAGAGAGAGAGAGAGAGAGAGAGAGCCCCUUUGUUAAAAUCCUUGCAUUCAAUAACUAUAACAAAUUGCCCAAGUUUUUCCAAAAGAAUACAAUGUUAAAAUAUAUAUGCAAGGAUCUAUAGCACCAAACCUAGUUGUAGUGCCGCUCCGGUCCAACUUCUGCAUGAGCAGAGCCCUAGAGCUAGCGUUUAGUGCCUGCAAGCAAAAUUCAUAAACCAUACAACAGGAAUUGUAGGAAAGAAUGAGCAAAUCAUACUAUAUGAUGGAUCUGGCAGAUCUCACAGACACAUUUUGAAUGAUUCUUGAGCUAGCUAUUUCAUAGUUUCUUUGUCUAGGAUUUUAGAGUCAUUAGAAAUUUGCAGGACUAAAGCUCCAUAAUAUCACAAACUAUAAUCAGGUUAAGUUUUAGCUUUAUAAUUUGGAGCUAACUUGGUCAGUACGUUGCACUGACAUGGAUAUGCAAUUCAGAUAUGACAAGAUGCAGAUAUGGCAAUAUGGUGAAUUUCUGGAGAAUGCGGUAUUAUAUUUUAUAUAAAACAAAAUAUAUUGAAAAUACGUUAGAUUAUUAUAUAACAAACAUCAAUAAACUCAAUAGUACUGCAAAAUGUGAAAAUAGUCGAGAUUACUUCAUUAAGAAAGAAAAUUGCUCGGACUAACAUUAAUAGUUAUAUUUAUCAACCAUGAACCCAUGACGCAAAAUUCAUUCGAAUGCACAAGAUGUUUACAAGCUACUGUUCAGGGCAACUUAAGAAUAUCUCCUAUCCAAAUUAGAGCCUAAAAACACUAAACCUAUCUGGUUAUCCCACUUGUAUCCCUCAUGUAUCACUCACCUAUUCUUCAAGUCCCUCAUUUAUGCAGGAUACUCCUCUCGAUAUUUAAAAUGCUGGAUACUCCUGUGAAUUACACAUAUCAAGCAUGUACGGGUAGUGGCAUCCAAUAUAUAUCCAAUAUGGAUACAUCAUCUAAAAUGUUAAAUAUCAUCAUUGGUCAUUCUAGCAGAAGGUGCAAAUUCUUAACUACAGUAGAAUUUACAUCUCACAACAAAAAUUAUUUCCCCGCAUGUUUCAGCAAGAAAACCAAAGUAACUAUUUAUAUACAAUUGAGGAAUGGCCACACAAUUCAGAAGAACUAUGGAGCAUGUUUUAGAGUAUCAUGCAGUGGAACAAAGCUUCAGGGUUUUGAUUUCAAAUUUUAGCAACCAUCACAUACAAGACACAAAAAAACUACUUUUGUUGGAAAGUAAAUUUUAAAAAAAUUACAUUUCAGUAAAGAUUAAACAAAUGAACAUAGAUGACAUACAAGAAUUAGAUUACUCAUUCAGUAAUGUCAUAACAUAGAAGACCAAUAAAGAAUAGAUCCUAUACAACCACAAGAAAUUCAAAACGUGAAAUAAGGAGGAAAAGAUCAGAUACAAACCAAGCCUCCACCUUCAUCAUCAUCCAAAUCUCCAGUAUUUGUUCCACUAGCUUGCACUCCAGCUUGGUCCGUUACAGCUGAAACCUUGGAUCACAAAUAAUAUUCUUAAGGUCAAAGAAAUGUUGUUGUUUAACUAUCAGAAUUAGCACACAAUCUCUGAAGAAUAAAAAAACCACCUUAAUUAUCCUGCCAGCAAUGUCAAGUUGUCCAUUUAAACUUUGCGCAGCUCUCGCAUCUUCAAGGCGCGCAAACUACAGUAGUGCAUAGUGACGCAGUAGGCUAAGUACGAGAAGCAAAAGAAGUAACGCUUUGAUGAAAAAUACUUGCCUGAAUGAAACCAAAACCUUUGCAAAGCCCAGUCAAUGGGUCAAGAGGCAAUUGAACAAGCUCGACUUGACCAAAUGGUUCAAACACCUAAAGAUACAAACCAAAGUCAGGAAGCAGUGAGAAAGCAAAUUAACAAGAAUCUACAGAGUACAGAAUUUUUUGGCCUCUAGAGAUUCAACAAUGUAGUGAACGAUUCUAUUACCUUCAGCCAAUAGGAAGGAAACCUGCUUAUUUCUAGUACCUAUAUAGAUUUUGACUUAUGCUUAUCGACAUAGUUAUUAAACUGGUGAAUUUGCUUUAGGAUGUUUGACUUAGCACAUAAUUAUCACAUUAGACAAGAAAGGAUAAUGCAUGAAUCUCUUAAAACAGUCACCCUUCAGCUAUCUCCAUGUGAGGAUUGAAUGUCACCAAAUUUCACUAUAAAAGCUAUAAGCACAUGAGGUAUUAUGUAGUUUAGAUGCGCUCUUUGGUAACAACAAGCAGAGCACCAAAUAAAAAAAAAACAGAAGUCCUGAAGCAACUAAUUUUUUUUAAAAAAAUCGAAGUAAAACAUGUACCAGUGGAUUAAAAGAGAAAUAAGUCAUCAACCAUAGAAAACUUUUGCAGGUGUAUAUACAUCAAGAGAUUUGUUAGGACUUUCCUCUAUUUGAGUCAAUUAGUUAAUUGAGUAAAAGAUUUAAUCUAAGUAGGUCUAGUCACUGCAGGUUUGACUUCUAAUUUUAUUCCCUAUUUCUUGAAAUUGUUGCGUGAAAGUUCAUUCAUAGUUUUAGGACUUCGUACAAAGCCGUCUUAAAUAGGGAUUAGGUGAUCUUGGAGACCAUCUACAAAGAAAAAUCUAGAUUAAAAAUUUAAAGAGAAAGGAAUCAGGUAAAAUCUGAUCAUCGAUAUAAUAAAACUUAUCCUCUUUCUAGCCGAAAUCCCUUCACUUAAAUAUGGAAAGGGGUCGACCACGGAGACUGGCAGAAAGCUCAUGUCUUUCAUAAAAUGAAUACAAGUUUAGCCACUGUGGUCAUUGGUCUUCUUAACCCCUCUUUUCUUGUUUAUUUUCAUUCACUCCCAUUCUAUCCGUUCACUUUUUCAUGUGACAAAGAGAUAUCACUAGCAGAUUAUGACAGAAAAUUGAUUAAAUAUUGAAAUGCAAUCAAACUAAUAUUCAGAUCUGCCAAAUCUUCCAAACUGGAUGUCUUUCACCAAGACUUUUUACUAAAAGAUAGCUUUCAUUUUCACACCUGCCUUGAUUCCUCUCUGUUGGAAGCGCAACCUACAAAACAAUGGCUGAAGAAGACGAUAUUCUAGUACGGCCCGACAGCAAUGAACAAAUCGUGUUUAUUAUUGAUGAUUCCAUCAUAAAUUGCGAGCUAUCCUUCGUAAGAAACUAAAUCCGAGUUGCGCAUCAAUACCACUUAAAAAUGUUGAACAUUAUGAAGUGUGAUCUUCAACUCCAACAACAUGAACAAUUACUUCAUUAUUCAAAAAGAGAAACUUGAUAGUUUUAAGAUUUGAGUUCAUGAUUGUUUUGUUCAAUUUCAGAUAAGAUUAACAACCCAGCAAAUGCAGUAUAGAACCAUAUCAUAUAUACUUGGCCAAAAACUAAGACGAAGAACUAAUCAAAGAUUAACGUAGAAAUGCAGUACAACAUUCACAGUUAAUCAUAAUAUUUAAUUUAAACUUUCUAAUAAUGUAAUUGCAAAUGAGACGAGCAAGUCCACUGUGCCAGGGUUGUCACAUGCCUUCCAACCUAAGAGGCUCUUUGAUUCUACAUAGUACUGUGGAAAAUUAUUUUCAGUGGAAAAAUAAUUUUACGACCUUCGGUGUUUGGUUUGUAGGAAAAGAAAACAGUUUUUUCAUAGUGCUUGUUUGGAUGGUAGGAAAUGAAGAUGGAAAAUUAUAUAAUUUGUUACUUUUUCUACUAUUUUUACACAUUUAUAUAUAAUUAUAUUAUAUAGCAUAAAUUAUUUUGUUAAUUUUUAUUGUAUAUAUAGAUGACAUAUUAUUACAUAUAUUAAUUUAUAUUGUCAAAGAAGACAAUAUAAUGAAAUAAAAAAAUAUCUAUUUAAUAAUAGGGGCAAUUGCUUAUAUACCCUUAAAAAGUUACUGACUUUCUUAUUUACCCCUCAUAGAAGGCUAAUAUUAAAAAUAUUCUUUUUAAGUUUCAAAGGCUUUCAAAUAUUCUCCUAGAGUUAAGUUUUGUUAGGCAGUGUUUGGUUCGAGAAUAAGGGGGGAAAUAAGCCCUUGUUCCCCACUUUAUUCCCAAACACCGUGUUUGGUACCUGAGAACAGUCGUUCUCGAAUUUCUGGAAUAAACUGUUAUAAGGUUAGAACUGUUGUUCCACCUUUUUUCCUGGCACAAGCUUAUUCCCAGGUGGGACUAAAUUUAAUUUUAAUUAUGGUAUUAAAUUAUUAAUUAAUCUAUUUAAUAUAUUUAAAUCAUUAUUUAUUGCUUAAAUAAUAAAAUAAUUAAUUGCUUUAUUAGUUAUAAUUAAUUAUUAAUAAUUUAAUGUAUUUAUCCAUAAACUAAUAUGUAUAUUGAUCAACCAUUAAUAUUUCUAUUAGUCUAAUUAACUUUUUCUUACUAGUUAUCUAGCUAAAAUAAUUAACUAAUUAAUUAAAAAAUUAAAUUAUUUUUUAUAAUUAAUUAAUUAAUUAAUAUAUUUAAAUCAUUAUUUAUUGCUUAAAUAAUAAAAUAAUUAAUUGCUUUAUUAGUUAUAAUUAAUUAUUAAUAAUUUAAUGUAUUUAUCCAUAAACUAAUAUGUAUUAAUCAACCAUUAAUAUUUUUAUUAAUCUAAUUAAGUUUUUUACUAGUUAUCUAGCUAAAAUAAUUUACUAACUAAUUAAAAAGUUAAAUUAUUUUUUUAUAAUUAAGUAAUUAAUUAAUAUAUAUUUUCAUUAUCUUAUACAAUAUUCAUAGCUAAUAAAUUUACUAAUUUAUUAAUUUAUUUUUAAGUAAUAUUUUUAUGUUGAUUAAUUAGGUAAAAUAAUUUUAAUUUAAAAUUAUAGUUCUUAUUCCCCUUGUUCUAAUCUAACCAUCCAAACAUCAUUUAUCUUACUCCUAGAAACAACCCAAUUUUUAUCCAAAUACAAAAUUGAUCUAGUUCCUACUUAUACUUGAACUUGUACUUAUCCCUAAAAUAAGCAGUUCUUAUACCCGAACCAAACGCAGCCUUAGUGAACUGUUAGGAAUAACUAUUAUCCUUGUAAAAUUAUCAUUUUGCGCUUUCAAAUAUAUCCUUCUAUCAUCACCAACUUUUCCUCUUUGCCCUUAAAUUAAGGGCAAAAGAACUAUUUUGACUUUUUUCCUUUCCAAAUAUACUCUUCUACCAUCACUAACUUUUCUUAUUUGCCCUUAAGUUUGGGGCAAAAUAGAUAAUUUUACUAUUUUUUUUAACUAUGGUAGAAAUUUAACUCAGGUUUAACCCAAGAUGACUUAACGAGCAUUUUUGAAUAACGGAGAAAUAUAUGACGAGUAUAUUUAAAACAAAAAAAAGUAGGGGUAAAUGAGAUAUUUCAGAGGUUUUGAGGGGUAUAUAGGCAAUUAUCCCUUAAUAAUACAUACGUACUACUAUAUUAUGUCACAUUUUAUAUAUUAUACAUAUUAUGUUACCUAAUUAAUAUGAGUGUAGGUCCAUAAGACUGAGGAAUUAUUAUUGUGUACACCGAGUGCAUCCAUGCACCACACUUCAAUCACUUGUCUAGUCCAUCUCAUACUUAUAAUUCAACUGCCAAAAUUUUAAGUAUAAAAAUAACUAGUAAAUAUCUAAUGAUAAAAUUAAAUACAGUAGGAGAAAAAUGAUAGAUAAAGGAGUGGUGUAUAUAUACAAUGCACCUGGUGUAUGAAACAUUCUAUCAUUACGUAGAGUCAAAGUGGUGCUCUAGUCCACAUGUUCCACUUCUCGCUGCGGACCGCAUCAAGGUGCGCACCGCAUUUUUUUGUCCUUCCAGCUUUUGUUUUCCACCCAUUUCAGGCAGAACACAAGAAGCCCAAGUUGUUUUGCAAAUUUGUAAAUGUAUUUUACAGAGAAAGCAUUUUUACGAGUAAACAAAUGAGCAGAAAAGCACUUUUUGAGCCGGAAAUGAUUUUCGGGUAGUUUUUCCGUCAAACCAAACACCUCCUAAAUUAAAUCCAAAAAAUUUAGAUACUUGACUCACUGAUACAAUUUUAGAUAUUUGACUCAAGCCGUAUUUAUUUAAUUUUAUUACGUUACACAAUUUUAUUUCUUUGAUAUUUUAAAGCUUUACGUACAGAAAAUUUACGGAUUUAGUCUAAUCAUUUUCUAAGUCCGAAAGAAUAUAAGAUUUGCUCUUAGGACUUAAAAUUAGGAUUCGAUAUUGAAUCAAAAACCUGAACUUAGGAAUCUUUUUUAGGAAGUGAAGAGCUUUCAGUAUAAAUAAAUACCAUUGAGCUCCACUGUAAUUAAUUAGUUUUGGAAUUUAAUGAAUUUUGUGUUUGUCCUGUCCCUUUAAGCAUGUGCAGCUCUCAAAUAGGCCUCUGUGGCCAUAUUUUUCCUUUCCUUUUUCUUCCACUUCUUUUUCUUUUUCUCCUUUCUCACACUUUUUCUCCAUUUUCACUAUAUUUGUUAUAUUAACCAUGUUAUUAUAUUGCUGCUACAGUAGUUCUGGUACAGAUAAUGCCGGUGCUUUCUACAUCACUCGUCAAACCAAUAGAGACACCAAAUUAGACCCAAAUUCAACUCUAACUCAGCUAAGAAUCCAAAUAAAUCCGAAUUGACUCUGAUAGUAAUCCAAUAACUAUUCAAUUUCAAUUCUAGGAAAAAAUUAUAGGAGGCCAAUUACUCAAUAAAACAACAAAGGACUCAAAUAAAGGCUCAUCAAGGCUAAGUUUAAUAAUGUAAGCUCCAAAUGCAACCGCUUUGAUGCUUUAGAGCUCCCAAAGAACUCGCAAGUGCUUUUCAAGCUUUGCUCCCCCAAUGCUAAAAACUGCUGUGGUCAACCAGAGAAGAAUCCUGCCCCAUAUAGGGCUGCCAUGACCAUUUCCUAGUAUCACAUAAGGGAGCUCCAAAGUGCUUUUGGAUUUUCUUGAAGGCCUAGUGCAUCAAACUAGUUGCAUUUGGAGAAUGCAUCCCCAAACUUGGCCUAAUUAAAACCAUUACCUCUCCACUGUCAUCAACGGCAAUAUUCUUCAGUUAUCGAUGAUUAUGCAGUUCUGCCCUUUCAGCCUAUUGUACAAUUAUGUGCAUCAUCUUAUUAGCAUCAUAAGGAACUACUGUUUGUAUAUCCUACCCUAAACCCUAAAGGGCCCAUUUGGUUCACGUUAUACAGCAUUACUAGUUAUUUCAACAUAACUAGAAGUUUGAAAUCUAUGAAGCAAAUUACAACUAAAGUUGCAUAACUGCAUUUGGUUUAGUGAAAUAAUGCAAUGUCAGAUUGCCUCAUAUCUAUCUAAAUGUGUAACUGUAAAACAAAUUAUCCAUUUACACAAAUUCAACAAAACUUGACAUUUUGCACUCUUUUUACUUUUAAAGAUCCUGAUAUGUGUUCCUAUUUUCCACGGAAAUUUUUUCAACCAAUCCAAAAACUCCAAUACUCCUAAAAUUGAUUCUCAAAGACCCAGCUGAAAGUAGGACUUGAAAUUGAGACUCAGAAAGUAAUACUCGAGGAAUUUAAAUGUAAAGGUUGGGGGAUUAAAUGAAAAUUCUGCUUUCGACGAAAGGGGAAGAGUUUUGGACAAACUGAGAAGCUUCCCUGCGAAAUUCAUGGUGUAAUAAGUUGGAGGGGGGUCCCAUAAGGGAUUACGACAAUUUCGUGGACUUUAGUGUGAAUAUGGCAUCGUAUAUAUGGCAAUUAAGUUGCCCUAGUGUUUUUCUUUUGGCACCUUAAUCGUAGCCGCACCUCAUCUACCUCUCCCUCUCUUGGCCGCCACCACUACCAAACCGAGCCCCUCUCCUCCUUGUGCGUAUGCCAGCCAGCACCUCCUCCAGCCGUGCAGCCUCUCUCCCUCUUUUGUGCAGUCGAUUGCACCCCUAGGCAAAGCCUCCCUCUUCUCCCUUUACCGGUCAUCUUCGCAUCACGCAGCUGACGACCACACACCGAAGCCCAGGGAGGUAAAGCCUAGGACCAGUCUUCCUUCUAGUGCCUUCCUCGUGCUUCCUCAGUGAGGGAUCCAAGAGGAAGUUGGUAACGAUCCCCGUUUUGGUCAUUAUCGCAUGUGGGAUUGGAAGUUUCAAUGUCGUUUGCGUCGAUAAUCUCGUAGAAUUACCAAAAUUGGGCCGACCCUUGUAGGCUGUAGCAUCCAGCCUAGGGUGGCCAAACCCAUGGUGCCCAACCUAGGGUGGCCAGACCACCAUGCGGCUAGGCUUCUUGUGGCCAAGCCCUAGAGGCUCCUUGUGGCCGGUCUUGGUGGUCGAGCUUUGUGGCUAGCCAUGGUGGCUGAGGCCUCGCAGCCAAGACCCAUGAUAGCUAAGCCUUGCGGCCAUGGUUUUGUGGCCAAGGCCUUCUAUUGGUCAUACACUCGUUGUGCAUCAGUUUCAACACCAAAUAUGGCACAAUCUGGAACCUUUGUGGUUGAGCGCAUCAACAUUAUGGCCGAUGUCAAGCACUGGUUCAUGCUCCUUGUUCUGACACCCCAAACGGUAUGUUCGGAACCCCAUAGAGCUGAAGCAACAUUAAGUUGAUAGUUCGUUAACCAAUGUAUCAGUUUCGGGAUUCAGUUAACGAAAACAAUGUUUUUGACUUAUUGUGCUAAUCGUAAACAUGUAGUAAGGGCCAAACUAAACACAUAUUUAAUCUAAAUAGAUCCAGGUGAUACUUAGUAAAUGCUGGUCGAGUCAAGGAUUUGUGAUUCACUAUGCGUAGGUGGGUGCUUCGGUCCAAAGUUGAUAUAGUUGUUCAAACGCGAUUAUUUCCUCAUGCACACUGAUUGCUUCAUAAUAUUUAAAUAGUGCAGUCCUAAACUAGUUUUCUAUAUAUGAUUCACUCGUGAUAUUUAUACCUACUUGGAUGCUUUACAUAACAGUUAUUACCCCUGCUUGAGUUACCGUAUGCCUUCUUGAGAUAUGCAUCUAUUCUUGUUAUACAUUGAUACUUCAGUUAUAGAGCAGGGCUGAUUAUUAUUUGUUUAUUGGACUUGCUAGUGAGCAUUGAGCCUAUUUGGCUGCAUUGAUACUCUGUGGGUGUUCUCUCGGCUUCUUGUCUUUCUUAAACAUUGGAUUGAGACAGAUCCUUAAGCAUAUCACAUGAUAAUCGCCCACCACUCACUAAGCAUUCACGAACACUAGCAUGGCGAUUUGAUCAACCCCAUGGGCUGAUAGUGUUCUUUCCUAGAAAAGUGAUUGAUAGGCUACCCGCAAGCCCUUCGCUUUACCCGGUGUGGUACGGAUUAUAUGCCAGCUUCGUUGAGUGCAUGGCAUGAGCCUAAGGUCCGCGGGACCAACAGUAUUGGAUUUCAUCAACGUUCCAAAAAGCAAUCCAUGCGGCCGCAUAUGCAGUUCGGACCAUACACCACACGUACAUGUAAUAUGCGGUGCAGUAUACGGUCGAGCUGCAUAUGCAGCAAACUUUUUUCUCAAAAAAGGUGGAAUUGAAAUACAAUGUUGAAUAGGUUUGUUUGAUCAAUAAUUGUACAUAUGCAUCUGACUAUUUUUAUGCAAGUUUAAUUCAAAUGCAUACAAAUGCAAUUGUAUUUAUAUAAAUAUAACAUCUCUCUUCUUGUUUUAGUAGGUAACAUUCCUAACCUAUCUAAUAAUUAUGUUUAUAAAUAUUGAUGAAUAAUUUUGUAGUUGUUAGAUAUUAUUAUACUAAUUUUUCUUUAUGUGUCAGCCUCUCACAUGAUGUGGAUAAUUGUUGUCCUCCAUAAAAUUUACCAUACAACUUUUUUUUUAAAAAAAUGAUUUUUGUUUGACAUUUUUUAUGAUUUUGUAUCGAAAUUCUAUUUAUUUCUCUAUUUAAUAAUAAGAAGUAAAUUACUAAUUGUUAGUUUAGUGGUACAUGUGUGCAUAGAAGGUCCUUUACUUGAAAUUAAUUAUUUUAAUUUGUGAAUUCUGAAUUGGUACUUUAGUUAUUUAGCUUUGUUAGGAAGCAUUUAUAUAUUUUUAAUACUGAUAAAUAUUUUAUUAAUACUUUUAUAGAUGGACUACAUAUACGCCCGCAUACCGCAUAUGCACUAUGUGGUAGGCAACCAUAUGGGUACCACAUACCACUGUUUGGAACACUGGGUUUUAUUGUCAAACUUUUUUUUAUUUAGUUAUUGGCAGGCUUUAUUUCCAUUGUCAUGACCAUUGGAACAAGUUGUGUUGUAUAUGUGUUGCUUUCUAUUCAGACAUCGUACACGCACAGAGGAGACAUUGUCCGUUUGACAGGUCUGUGCGUGCUCGAAGCAAGGUUUUAAAUGAUUUUAAUCAGCAUCCAUCAUACUCUGAUUACAAAAUAAAAAUAACUAUCAAAAAUAUUUACAAAGAAGGACACGGAUACUUAUUAAGGACCACAUGUAGAAAAGGGCUUUAAGCCAUCAAAAGUGAGGUUGGACAAGACCAAAGAAAAGAAAAAACAUGAUGAGAAGAAGACAUUUCAGACUUCUAACUCCUUGUACCAAUUUGGCCAGUUGAGAUGCUAAUCAUCGCCUUUUAGUACUCAUACUUUCUUUUAUCAUAUAACAGAUACCUCUACCUCCAAACAUUAUCAAGUUGUUUGGCAUUGUGACAAAUUGAUUCUAGAAUUUCCAAUUAAAAACACGCAUAAAUUCUCAAGACUUCCAUGUAUCAAAUAAUUUAUGCUACCUGGGAACAAAAUUGUAAUAUAAUUUAUUUGCUCUCAAUAGACUUCUAAGUUUUGAUUUAAAAUACAAUAUACAAGCUAAUUAUCAAUAUCCAACAAAUUGGACAAAAGCUUAGAGAAGUUAUGGCAUAUCGGUGGAACUGAUUUGAUAUGACAAGAAAACGUUAAUAUCAGAACUCAAUGAAGAAAACGAAGGGCCAACUAAUAAUCUAUCAGGUCGAGUGAUAGGCACACGUUUUCAUUUGACAAAGAUUAUUCAAACACAAUGAACAGAUAUUGACAACUGCUAUGAAGAGAGAAAAAACAAAAGAAUAAAUAGAUAGGGAAAGAUACAGAGUAGCAACUUAGAAGAUAGAAUGAAGCAGAUUCGCACAAAAGUGGUCAAUGCUUGAGACUGUAUGCUUUAACUGACCUGUCGAAGUUGAUCUUCAGUAAUGUUCGAAUGGAGAUUCCCAACAUAUAACUUUCUUGCUCCACCAGAAGCUGCUCCACCUGCAGAAGUAGUUGACUGGACUAAAUUCUUUUCUGCUUCUGAGGGCUUUACCAUUACUGGUUGCCCAAGAAGCAGCUGUCCAGAGAGAGCAAUCGCCAUUGGAACAGACAUAACGUCAUAAAACUCAAUAUACCUGCAACAUAAAUCUAGAUAUAAUUUUUUUCUGCCAUACUAACUUCUGAAUAUUCAAGUUUCUGAAGGAAAGAAAUUCUUUGGAGAAAUGUAAAAGAACAAAAAAUCAAUACUUCCAAACAAAAUAAAUGUGCACAACAGAGUACGGAAACAGUAAAAAAGGCUUCCUGAAGGUAAUACAUGAUAGAAAAACAAUGCACACAUGAAGAUGUGUACAUUGGCCAUGACUUCGGUUAAAAAUCAGAGAACCAUAAAUAUCUGCCAUCACAUGCACAUGAAUUCCAAACAUAGGGAUAGUAUAGGGAUGCAUAAAGGAAGCGAAAGGAAGAAAUGAGAAGUUUAAAUUGAGAAAAGAGAGGCAGAAAGCAAUUUAAUUAUAGCCCUUCUUCAUGCACUUCGAGAUGUAUAAAUACUUUUGGGGGGCUAUUGAGAAGGAAAAGGGAAAUACAUAGGGCUGGAAGGACAAACAGAAACAGCCUUCAAAUUGUUCCUACUUCCUAGCGUCCUCUAUAUGUUAGAUUUUAAGGCUGAACCCUCAACUUCUCUUGCAUAUCCUCGACUAGUGAUUCUACAAUGCAUACAUCCAAAGGUACCUCUCAAACUGAAAAGCUACUCAUCAUCCACUCUACUUUAAUGCAUAACUAGUGCAAGGCCCGCGCUUCGUGGCGGAUCGAUAGUAUUUCAAAUAUUUUAGUCAAUCAACAUAUAUAAUUAUUAAAAUUUUAACAUUGAAAAAAAUUAUAACUAAAAAAUACAUUAAAAAUAUUAUGUAACCUUUUAUACGCUAUAAAAACUAUUUUUUUAUUAAUAUUUUUUAGCUUUCAGUAUUUGUAGAAUUAAAGUUUUCUAAUAACUCAUUUAAAAAUUUAAUCAAACUUAAUAGUUUUAGUAGCUAUUUUAUAAAUAAUUCUAAUCAAACUUAAAAUUAAUUGGAGAAAAAAGAAAUUAAUUAUAUGCACUUGGUGCAUAUUAACACACCAUACACCACAAUUUAUAUUAAAGGACUAAUUUUCAAUAUCAAAAAAUUAAAUCUAUUUGAUUUACAAAGUGUAAUAAUUUUUGUAUGUUUACUGAAUUAAAUUUUAAAAUCUCCACUGAAGGUUUCAAGUAUGUGGUAUAUAUACUUAUAUACAUAUGGUGUAGAGAAUGCUUAAUAGAGUGCAGUCAUAAUUUCAAGAGAGGAGAAAUUUUUCUUUGCAUUUGAUGUGCACUAAUACUUCAUACACGACAAAAGUAUAUAAGAUGAUUGAUAAAAUAUCUAAUAAUUAGUAUUGUAAAAUAAAAUACGAUAAGAAUAUACAAUAUAAAAUCUUUAAAUAGUUUAUUGUAUUACAGUCAGUUUACUUUUUAUGUAUAUUUAAAUAAUAAUUUUAUAUUAUAAUAUUUAAAUAAUUAUUUUUAAUGUAUAUUUUAUAGUUGGUUCACAGUGCACUUGGUGCAUCCAAAAUUUUUAUGAGCUAUGAGAAUCUGUUUUGAUGAUUUGGCAGAACUCUCAAUUUAUAUAUCUUAUAGAUUCUAGACUAGAUGAAACUGCAAAAGUAUAAGAGUUGUCGUACAAGUGAUGCAGUACAAUGAUGACUCUCAUCUUAAAUUUUUAGUAAGUCUAGUUUUUGUUCAUUGGUUAGAAGCCUGGUUUAUUUGGAUUGUUCAAGAAUUAUUGGACAAGUUAUGCACUACAAUGUUGACCCCCCUAUCUUUACUUUCUAGUUAGUUUAGUUUCUGUUAAUUGAUCAAGAUGUGGUGUGCCAUCCCACUGAUGGUCAAGGGUUUAAGGGAAAACUACUUCCACCCAAGGUUUUAAGUGCCUGUUGGCACGGACCGUAUCCACCGUGCCACACCGUGCCAACAAGACCCCUUGCCAAUGGCAAGGCUCAAAACCCUCUAUUCUUUAAAUUAGUAAGUAAUUUAAGUUCAAAAGAUGUGAUAAAAAGACAUAAUAAAUAGGUAGAAUAUUUGUUGCUAAAGAAAAUAAAUAUUUCAUGCUAUUAUGUGUUGGCACACAAAAAAUUUUUUGACCAGCACACAUCGGCACAGCUCGGCACGCACCAUGCCGUACCGUGCCGGCAAAUUUCCGGCACGAUCCCAUGCCACGGCACUUAAAUCAUUGCUUCCACCUUUCUGAAAACUUCAACAGUUCAACCAUUAAGCUUUGUUCCACCCGCACUUCCACAAUUUCUAUAUUCUAACAAAAGCAGGCUAAGAAUACGACAAAAUCCAGUACCAUUUUUCUCUUCCUUCACAUAAAACACAAAUAUAAGAAAUGACGAAAGCCAAACUACUAGUGGGAGAUAAUAAUAGGGUUUAAUCUUUUAAAGAUUUUUCUAGAAAGUCAGUGUUUUCCUAAAUUGUAAAUACGCCUGGGUCAAUUUACCCAAAGCAAAUCAAAAGUUGAGGGUGUGUCAUUUCUAAGCAUUUCACAAUGGCCUACAAUUGAAGGGGUCUCCAUACAUUACCAAAAGUUUGUAAAUAGACAAAAUGCCCUUCUUUUUCCCAAUCUUCUUUCAAUAGUAAAAAUUGUUGAUUGUUGUAGGUUAUUAUUAUUGAGGGGAUACUGUGCAACUCAUUAUAUUUCAAGAAGGCUUUCUUCAUUGUAGCAUAACCAUUUGAUAUAAGAAGUGCAUUAAACUAGUGACUUCACUGUUUCAGAUUGCAGCAAACGACAUUCUUCUGAUUCCCUAUUAAAAUAACAUCUACACUACUAUGGUAUGCACUUAUAUACAUAAAUAACUUCUGUAAUAUUGGUAUAACCGAAUUGAUAUGUAACAGAAACAUGGACCAUAAAGAGUUAGACACUUGACUGGAAUACUAUUAACAGAAUCCACAACCAACUCCUACCAGUGAUAUAUGAGUGAUGUUUAUCUUUUUUGGUCAAAUAAAAAAAAACAAGCAUAUUCACAUAUGCUUUACUGACAUAAUAUUUCCCUGGAUUCCUGGAAUUUUAUGCAGUAUAUAAGUUUCUGAAAACAAUCUUACAAACAUAAUAAAUAUUCAUGAAUUAUAAAGUAACUAAAAAUUCAAAGAUUUAAUACUACUCCAUCUUGUUAUUUCUUUUGUUAUUUAUUGAAUAUUUACAGACUUUCCUGAACUACUUCAGAAACUUUUGCUACCUCAUUGUUCAACAAUCGCUAGUUUGCGAAAUAUUAUAACUCGGUUAUGUUAAGAUUAUGGAUGAUCCCUAAAGUUUAUUUUAUAAUUUUGGGGAAUUUUAUUUUUCUUUUUCUUUCUUUCUAGAAAUUAGGACUUGAUUAGAAUUUAAUUUCAAUUAGAAUUCUUAAUUUCUUCUAGGCUUUUUGUUACAAACUCUAUCAAUAAGACCUCAGACUUCCCUCUUGUAAUCAAGAUCACUAUAAAAUUAUUAAAAGAUAAUUCGAAGCCUUGGAGCACAAGCAAUCUAUUGCUUUCUUAGCAAAAGCAUCACUCUGGAAUAAGUCUAGCCACAAAGUGAGCUUGGUUCAAGAAAGAGCAGAUUAUUCUUUCUCCAUCUUCUUCUCUUUUUCUUCUUUAAUAUUUAGAAUUUUCACCUAUUUUUCUUCAAUUUUCUUAAUUUUUAUAAUUUCUAAAUUUCUAUUCAAAAAAUUUUUUAGAAAAUAAAAAAAUUUCAACAAAUUCAUACAAAUUCAUAGAAAAAUUUUUAAAAAUCAGAAAAUUUGCAAAUCUAUUUUCAUAUUUCUUUCUCCCCAAAUUCUCUUUUCUUCAUUUGAAGGUUAAAAACUUUGUUCACUUUCUUUAGCAACUUAAGCCUUGUUUUUCUAAAACCCACUAAAGACAUGGGACCUCCUCCUAUAGCACCCAGUCUUAAUUCAUUUGAGACAACACUAGUCAAAAUAGCUCAGUAAAGUAGCCAUACCCUUACAAGUGAUUAGGUGUAAACAGAUUACAUAUUUUCAACUCUCAAAAGGUAUAUCUAAUUCAUAUUUGAAUGAUACACUUGCGAAAAGCACACAAUAUUUGCAAAUCAAAGAACAAUCAACACUAAAUUAAGAUGGUUGAAAAUGACAAAAUCAUAAAAUAACCACUAGGAUAAUGCAUCUGAAAUUAUAGAGCUAGUAUAUAUUUAAAUCCAGAUAUGGCUAGAGUAAUAAGAUAACAAUUAACAGAGUAUACAUACCCAACUCCUUUAGAACGUCUCGAAUUACGAUCCAUAAUUAGGCGAACAUCCCGCACCUAAACAUAAAAUUCACUAUCAUUAUGAUAAAUACCAGAACAACUAGCAAAUAUUAUUAAAAGUCAAUUUAUUUCAAGUCAACAACUCAGAAUGCCAGCCUAUCUCUGAGCAGUCUGAUAAAAGAUAUAACAUUACAUUGGUGCAAAAAGUCUAAUAUGUGCUCUCAACAGUGUUUGAAAAGGCGCAACGCACAAAAAGGAGCAAACGCCUUACGGAGCCUAGGCGCGAGGCGCGCGCCUCAAGAAGAUGAAUCACAUAUCUAAUAAAAAUAAAGCACUCUUAACAAGCCUAUUUUAAAUGAAUGUUUUAUGUUAAAAAAUUCUAAAAUAGCUAUACAAAAACAAAAUAACCAUAAAAAAGUAAAGAAAUCGCAUGCAUAAAUAUUCUUAGCCUAAAAAUAAAAAAUUAUGUUUCAACUUUCAACUUAAAAGUGCUUGAUGCUGCUUCUUGCUUCUUGUUGCUGCUACUUAUUGCCAUUGGAGAGUGAAAAAGAGAAUGACCAAGAGAAAAGGGAAGGAAAACGUUCAAUUAGAAUUUUUUUUAAAAUUUUUUUUUAAUGUUUUAGAAUAUAUUGAAGAAAAUCAAAACCCCAAAACCCAAACCAUAGACACAUUAAACGUAAAUAUCAUGAGGCGCGUCUAAGGCGCACACCUCACUCCUUGAGGCACCGAGACUCGCGCCUUGCGCCUACGCGCGUGGCUGAGGCGCGCCAUUUCAAACACCGGCUCUCAAUACCUUCCAAUGAGGUAAAAUAAAUAAAUAGGUGCAAAACAUUAAAUAACAAAACAAAACAAAAUUUAAAACAGCUUUUCAGUGACAGAUAGCAUUAUAAUAUAAGCAACAGCAAACCAAACAGGCACGCCUCAUGCAUAAGCUCAUUGAAAAUUGCAAAAUUCUACAAAGUAAAAGAUUCUUUACACAAAUAAUCAGCUGUUGAUCUACACUCCAUUUUCCUAUAUCCUGUGAUGUGGUAAGUUCAUUAAAGUUUGCUUCUACAGAACUUCAGCAAACAUCUAUAUUUGUCCAUUCAGACAAGUGAGUAUGAGUAGCUGCAAAAUGUGCUACAAGAAACCACCACAGAUAAUGCAGAACUUACAAUCCAAGAAUAUUGAGUUUAGAUCCUAUAACCAUUAUAAAAUAUUUGACAUGUUGAAAGGGUUAAUUUUUGUUCACUCGACAUGCAAUUGAAACUAAUAAAAAUGAACUGAAAUUCUCGAUUCAACUACUCUGGAGAAUAAUUGAGAAACAGAUUUUGCAACAGAAAGCAUUCUGAAAGUGAAAAAGGAACCGAUUUGCACCAGAACGUGAUGACUAUUAAGUAAUAUCAACAGAUAGCAUUAUGUCAGCUUGUUUCCAAGAAAAGAUGCAGAAAUAGUUCUUGGAUUUUAUCUCCUGGACUUUCAUGAACUUUAUCCAUAUAUCCAGUAAAACCAACUAACAGUAAAGAAAGAACUUUGAUGCUAAUUUUUUAUUACCAGUUUUUUUCAGUAGGAAACUGUCAGACCAGCAUUACCAGUGAGUUCUAAAAUGUCAAUUAUGUCAACAACAUUGAAAGGAGAUCAUAUUGCAUGGUUAUACAGUAAUCAGACUAACCUUUCCAGCCCUCGAAAAGAAGUCAUAAACAUCUCUUUCAUCUGCCUUCAAAGAGAGCUGCAAAUACAAAACAUGCAUCAUUUACCAGUAUGUAAUAUAAAAGAAAGAUUAACAGUACUUCCUAGGACAAAAUAGAAAGGAGGAAAUACAUAAUGAAUAGCAAAGAGAAUACCUGAUAAGCAAAAACAGUUCUCUGAUCCCUUUCAGGAUCAGCCUCCGGUUCUGCAGCUUCUUCUUUCUUAUCUCUGUAACGCCUGCACAAAAAUAUAAAACUUUACAGUAAUGUCAAAAGAAGCAAAUAAUUGCUAAAAUUCCUGAUGACAAUAAUGUAACAGGUUAUGAAAUUGUUUUGCUCCUCUUUGAGCAGGCCAUUACAAUAAAAACAUGUCUCAUAUAACAGUUAUAAUAAUGGGGAAUAUGACUUCCUCUAACAUGUCGACAUUUUAGAAGGCCCCUCAUAUGAGAUGUCAACUUACCUAGAUGAUCCAUAUAACACAGUACGGAAAGGAGAAUAAUCAGAAAAAUGAAAACCUAGAAGCAAUAUACUGACAAGUCAGAGUAAAGAAUAAGAUUGAUAAACUAUUAGUCUUCAGCUAUUGAAGACUACCCAUUCCAAACAGAUGCUACAAAUCAAGAAGAAAUUAAUUACGAGAAAAACAAUAGAUCAAAUACAGAAAAAGAAGAAACACAAUAACUAUUUUCUGUAGACUUUCUUCUAAAAAAGGGGUCUCUCACUCUUCAUUCAAUUCAUAGGAGAAACAAUAACAGUGCAGGAAGUUUCUCGGUGACAACCAUGCAGAGAAUGCUGACAUAGCGUUCAAAAGACAUGUUGAAGUUUAAUAUACGUAUCCCUGCUUUUGCAGUGAGAUGAGUAUAUAGCUGUUAAGUGAUGACCUAGCAAAUUCCUUACGAUGUGUAACUUGAAACUUCUGGAAAAUGAUUAAAAACCAGAAGGAACCCUCCAGCAUAUGAAUGACAAAAGCAUAAAACAUUUGCAUUCAGUCUAAGUUAACCAUCCAACAUCGAAUAUACUGGUGAAAAAUUUGCAGCAUCUUGAUCCUAAUAUUGGAAUGAACAAUCAAUCUAUAAGGACGACACCAUACAUCAGAAAAAGGAUUUCCCAAUUAAAGAGAAUGGUGCUUCCUAUACUUAUCGGAAGGAAAAGAAGGCUAGGAUAAAGAUCACAAAUGGAAAGGCAAGGACACCAGUGGAACCUAAAUUCUUCAACAGGAUCUGCAUGAUGCAAAUCACUAAAGAACCAAAGAAAGCCACAAUUUAUAGAAACCUAGGACUCGAACAUCAUUGGCUCAUGAAAUCACAAAUUUGAAGUCUAAAAAGCGGAAACAAGACACAACGCGUACUCUCAAGCAACAGAAAAUCAUCAAUACAAAGGAGCUGGCGACAGCAUCUCCUGCAAAAGGAAAGACAAAAAAGAAAAGCAAUGAAAGAAUCGUCUGUGCAGUAGACUGAACACCCAUAUCCUCAUUGGCAUCAGAAGAUGCAAUGCUUCAGUGAAAAAGCCCAAAACUCCCCUCACCAGCAUUUCUGCAACAGAACAAAUACAGUUCAGCUAUGUGUUCCGAGAUGCUAGAAAACUAUAAUGACAAGAGGAGAUCAUCGAAAACUAUAAUCACAUGAUGACCAAUCGAUGAUCUUCAAAACCUCCAAAUCUACCAGGUCCAGUCUUCCAGUGAUAACUUAUGAGUGAAAACCCUAGUAAGAACAAAUUUUUUGAGGCCCAUGACCUGAAAUUGUGAGCCAAACUCAGUUGCCAGGACCAUCUGAAGAUUGCUCAAGCAUAUCUGCGAGUUUCGAUAUUAUAAUGUUCAAUAUUUGGGCAUUCACCAAUCAUAAUAUAGCAGCAGCAAAGUACAUAGAUCUUUAACACAACUAGUGCCAUAGAAAUAAAUAUUAUUUUCAACUUACCAAUAACAUAAACCUUGUAGCACAUAAAUUUGUCACGAGCAACAAAACAGAAAUUUUGUUAUUAAUGCAAUCGUCAUAAUACCAAAUACCUUUUAGUGCAUAUAAAGAGGACUCUAUAUGUAAAAAUUAGUUAUGCUGUCUUAUUAAUGGCAAUAAGAAAGAAAAAAAGAAUCGAAGGAACAAUGCAAUUAGAAGAGUUCUAAGCUUCAGCAGACACUAUAUCACCAAGAUCAUAAACACAUAACUGACAAAAAAUAAAUAUAAAGAACAAAUAACCAUAGUCUAUUUGCCAACUGUGUCUCAAACACAAAUACAGUAUAAACUCCCAACCUAAAAAUGUUUUCCAUUCAAGCAUUGAACGUGAUCACUCAAGACCGACUGUGCCAUAAAGGAGGAAGGAUACUCCCAGGAGCAUAUUAUAAAACUAAACUAACAAUAAGAAUGCUGGUCAGCACCACGAAAAUCACAUAGCUAGUGAUGGUUACAUACUUGAGCAUAAUCUUUCAAAAUCUAAAAGCUUUGCGCGCUUGAUUUCAUGAAAAACAAGAUUUCUUCAAACAGAUAACGUAUGAACUUUUUUGUUUCUUUGUAACAACAUAAAGUCUCAACUUUUUUUUCUCAUUAAUUCUUCAAACAGAUAACGUAUGAACUUUUUUGUUUCUUUGUAACAACAUAAAGUCUCAACUUUUUUUUCUCAUUAAUUAAGAAUUUAUUACCAUCCUCAACUCUAAGAUACCGUUUGUAACAAAACAGCUUAGGAAGUAUUGAUUAGAGAUAAGUAUAUGGAAGUGGAAAAGUGUUGAUUGGGAAUUUUUACUGAUCCUCCAAUAUAAGUUACAGUUUGUAACAAAAUAGUUUAGGAAGUGUUUGGUUAGAGGAAAGUACAUGAAAGUGAGAAAAUAAAGUUCUAAGAACUUGGCUCCAUCCUCUCCCACCCAAAGGAGUUCAACAUCUUAGAACUUAGAAGUUAGCUGAUUAUAUUGUUUUCAGUUUUAACUGCCACACUUCCCCUUACACUUCAUUCUAACUAAAUUCCUGGUCUACUAUAAAUCUCCAACAAAACAUAACUAAAAACCAACAAAAAAACACUAAAAACCAAACUAAGUUUUUAUUACCUGCUGGUUAUUCAUAAAAGGUUGACUAAUUAACAAUUAUCGGAUACUGCAAAUUAUAAGCAUAGAACUUUUCAGGUCUCUAUGAAGAAAAGUUCUGAAAUUGAUUUGCAAAUCAAUAUUGUUCAAAUUUUGAAAUAAAUUCAUACUAAAUUAUACCUUAUCUACUAGCAGUUAGUUCAUGCCUUCCCACAUGACAGACUCAGCGAUCUUUCAAACAGGAUCAUUGUUUUCAUUUCUUAAAGCAUGUAAGAAGUAAGAACAACAUCCUUCCAUCUAGGUCCUGCAAUUUUUUCGCUGACCCUCGACAGAUACGAAGGAGAAAGCCCCAUACCUUCUUUGACACUUCCGUACCAUUUCAAUUCUCCGCAAGUCGGUCCUCUUUUUUAUCAAUCAGGUCAACCAGUCCUUUCAAGGCUUAUCGCAACUUAGGUAUAGCAUUCUUCAUAAAAGCAAAAGUGAGAUUAAUAGAGACAUUUCUUGCUUCGUGUCAUCAAGUUUAUCCCUCAAGUUAGACUUCAAGUUUCAUUAAUUGCAUAAUACUCUAAAAACACAUUCAUGCACAGCUGAUAUAUUAAUAUAUAUGUGUUUCUCUUCACUAUUUUCAGUGACAAUGUGAAAAUGAAAACAACUUUGAAAUUGGGGUAGCUCUACACACCUUUUAACAUCGUAACAUAAACUAGUCCCAAUAGCAAGAUAUCUAACCUAAAUAUAGUUAUACAGUUAUCUCGCCUCAACUACUUCUCCCUCGCUCCAAGCUGAAAUGGUCUUUCCUCUAGGGCCUAGUUUGGUUUACAGUUAGUUCAUUCCUUCCCACAUGAUAGACUCAGCAAUCUUCAAACAGGAUCAUUGUUUUCAUUUCUUAAAGCAUGUAAGAACAAUAUCCUUCCAUCUAGGUCCUGCAAUUCUUUGGCUGACCCUUGACAGAUACUAAAAACUUCUAAGGGGGAAAGCCCCACACCUUCUUUGACACUUCCGUACCAUUUCAGUCAGUUCUCCAAAAGUCGGUCCUCUUUUUUAUCAAUCAGGUCAACUAGUCCUUUCAAGAUUUAUCGCAACUUAGGUAUAGCAUUCUUCAUAAAACAAAAGUGAGAUUAAUAGGGACAUUUCUUGUUUCGUGUCAUCAUGUUUAUCCCCUCAAGUUAGGCUUCAAGUUUCAUUAAUUGCAUAAUACUCGAAAAACACCUUCAUGCACAGCUGAUAUAUUAAAAUAUAUGUGUUUAUCUUCACUAAUUUCAGUGGCAAAGUGAAAAAGAAAACAACUUAGAAAUUGGGGUAGCUCUACACACCUUUUAACAUCAGAACAUAAACUAGUCCCAAUAGCAAGAUAUCUAACCUAAAUAUAGUUACACAGUUAGCUCAUCUCAACCACUUCUCCCUUACUCCAAGCUGAAAUGGUCUUUCCUCUAGGGCCUAGUUUGGUAAUGUGGUGGCUAAAAGCACCUAUUUUAUACUUUGGGAGGUUCAAAAAUUCCAAAGAACUUUCAAUCUCCCACCGCCACCAUCCCCCCACCCCCCUCAAAACCCCCAAAACCAUGACCCCCAACCCCCCAAUGACGUAAAAUUGCAAUGGGAACUAUCACCGGAGAAGCACGUAAGCAGCGGAUGCAACCACAAUUUAUGGCAUAAAAAGAGGGAAUAUUCAAAGCGCUUUGGAUUUUUUGGACCUUCCAAAGUAUAUAAAAGAAGUGCUCUUAGCCACCACAUUACCAAACUAGGCCUAAUUAGACAUUGUCAUGACUACCAACAAGAAGAUGGUUCAUCUGACAAAAAUAAAGAAUUCAACAUUACGAUAUUUUAGACAAACAACAACAUUUCAGGCAACAAUAGAACAUCUUCGAUCUAAAAGAACUAUUUUUUUUUAGUGCCAAAAAGAAACAUCGAAGAAUAAGUAGAAAGGACACCUGUGAUCGCGUUCAUACUCCCUUAAUCUGUAGUCCCUCUCCCUGCUCCUCUCCUGGGCCCGGUCGCCGUCACGCUCCUCCUCCCUAUGCUUCUCAGACUUGCUCCUGCUCCUCCGUGACCGCUCCCUCUCCUUAUCCUUGUCCCUCUCCCUCUCCCUCUCCCUAUCCCUAUCCCUAUCCUUCUCCCUAUCCUUAUCCUUAUCCUUAUCCUUAUCCUUAUCCUUCUCCUUCUCCCUGUCGCGCUCUCGCUCCUUCUCGCGAUCCCGCUCCCUCGACCUCUCCUUAUCUUUCUCCUUCUCCCUCUCCCUCUCGUCGCGAUCUGCUUCCUUGUGCUCCCUCUUGCUCCUGUGCCGCUCCCGCUCCCGCUCACGCUCCCCGCGCUCCAGCGACGAGCGGUGGCGGGACGAGCCGCGGCGCUCGUCUCCGUCGCGGUCCUCCGACCGCCGGUGCUUCGAGCGCCGCUCCCCAUCGCGCUCCGCCUCGACGGUGGCGGCGGAGGAGCGGCGCUUGGAAUCGCCGGAACGCUCCUUCUCCUUCGACCCCGGCAACCCGCCGCCGUUUGCCGGAGACUGAGAGUUCUCCACCGCCUUCUCUAGGUACUCGUACUCGUCGAACUCCAUCUCGAAUGGAAACUCCCCGGGUUGGAAAGUCCUAGUAAGGAGGGGGGAUCGCCGCAAAACCCUAGAAUUUGGUUUUGCGGAGGGGGAAAAAGAGUCCCUUUUCAAGGAACGAAAAUGAAACACUUCUUCUGCAAACAAGAGUAACCCUAGAAGCAGUACUUUGCUACAAAAUAUUCUAGACUAGACUAAGCUAGGGUUCGCGUAUCCAAUCUUUUAGAUAAAAAAAAAUAUAUUAUUAUAUUAUAAAACGCUGAUCCGUCGCCUAGCGAACAUUCGAAAAAAAAAAAAAUAAAUAAAAAAAUAAAAAAUUCCUUAAGUUUAUUUAUUAGAAUUUAUUCGUAGGAAACCAAAAUUUCUAAUUCGAAAAUUAAUUUUAAAAUUUUAAACUUAAAUAUUAAUUUAAAUUUUUUAUUUCUAAUUGAAUAUUGCAAAAGGGAUGGAGUAAUUUCGCUAAUUGAAACUGUUUCUGAUGAAAUAAAAUCACUAUUUUAAUGGUCGGACAGUGUCAGAAGUCGUGGUGAAGUUCGUUUCUAGAUUCUACAAGGCAGAAGCGAUGUAUUAAGCGAAAAUUGCAAAGGGGCUAUUUUUGGAGAAAUUAAUUUUUUAUGAAAAAUGCACGACAUUUUUAUAUGUCAAAUUGUAUAAAACUCAAUGGGAAGGUGCAACUGUGCAAAAUACGCGCACUAAUAAAUUCUUAGCAAGAAAUUUUGAAUUUGGAAGGUUAAAUUACAAUUUUAGUAAUUUGUGAAAAAACGGAAGAAAUCUCGGAGUUUGGGUGAGCGGAUGAUCUCAAAUGAAAGCCGACUAAGAGAGGAGUGCGCUAAUUCAACUCCAUGGAAUUUUGAGUUUUCUAUGCGAAAUAGAGCAGAUUUGAAGAUCAAAAGAGAAAAUGGGAUCAAAGGGUAUCACGCUCCAGGGUCCCUUUUUUGUUUAAGAAGUAAUGCAAAAGUGCCCAAAAUUUUUUUUUUGAAAAUCUUGACCCCAGAGUAUAUCAGAUCCGCCACAAAUACAGAAAAUUCACUAUUCACACGGACAGAGUCUCCCCUAUAUUUGCACAGCGUCGCACAAGUACAAUAUACAACCACCACUAUAUGAAUAUCCACAUACAUAAAUCACAUUACAAUUUUCACUUUAUUUCAUCACAGAUAAUAGCAAUUCCACAUCUAUUAGUUUAAAACGUUUCAUACCCGAAAACUCAUUUUGAAAUAUUAAGAGUCACGAAAACCAGAAAACUCUUUUAAAAGCUGUUUCCAAUACGGAAACAUUUUUCUUUCUAAAACACGCUACCACGAGGGGUAGAACACCGUUUUCAUCUUAUGAGGAAAUCCAUAAAUACUUUAUUACAUUCCAAAAACCAUAUAAAUUCAAAUAAAGUAAACCAACUGAACCAGUAUAUCUAAGUUAUUUAUUUGAAAAGGCAAGUUAAGAGAAGUCCACCAGGUUAGGAGCUCUAAUCGAUCAUUAGGAACGCUACUCACGCACCGUCCCGACUCUAAAGGAGGUGGGGGUGAGAAUAUGUACACAUGUCUCCCCUCCCAAUAAGUACCGCAAGCCGACGAGGGCGAGGGGUACUCACUAGUCAAGGAGGAUAAACAAAAGUACAGAUAAUGACAAAAUAGUAGCAAUGAUAAACAAGAAAAUAAGAUAUAUAUAUGAAUCACUACUGCUUUUGUAUAUAUGCAUCAACCGGACGACAAGUCCAAAAGUAACCCAAUCAGAAGCCUGUCAUGUUGGUCCGCAGACCUCAGACUUGUGCCACAACUACUCAAACCUAUAAAUAACCCUCGUAUAAGCAUCCGGGUCUAAAAGCAUAUGACCCUCGCAUAAAGCACCAGGGUCUGAAAGCAUAUAUAACCUACGCAUAAAGCACCCGAGUCUCACGGGCUGGCACUUCCAACCACUUUUCCAAAAAGAACACCCUCUUGCGGUGCCAAACCGCUGGUAUACGUGAAAUGCGUAGAGCAGUGGCGAUCAAUGCUAAUAUGCUCAAUAGCCAACCGCCGGGAACUAGCCGAUAACUUGAUGUCAACUAACAUAUAUACACAAGAACCGACCAAUAGGUCACAAGGAUGUCACGUCAUGCAUCGGUAUAAUCCAGAACUAGUCGUCAACUACUAGCCGACAAUCCUACCCCUCAGGGUAUACUGACCGUGUGGGUCGCCAAAUAGUCGAACCGACCAAGUAGGUCACAAAGAUGCAAUAAACCAACCGAAUAAGUCAUACUACGAGAUACAAUAACCGACCGUCUAGGUCACAGAUAUCACAUGUAGUCAUAAACCUGCUCUACUUCUACUCAUGAUGCUAGAUGGGUAAACUAACCAAGUAGAGCGAUGAGGAAAUAAUAAGGGUGCAAGGCUCAACAUAAUAUAUGCAAGGUAAAUAGUAUGAGAAAGUUAGAAAGGAUAUCACCGAGCGUGCACCACUGUACCGACUUCGGGUCGAAGUACCCACCUGUACGUACGUAGUAUUGGUCUCCCGACUGCGGAAGAAAAUCAACUGGACCUACGAAGGGUCCACCGGGCUAGAAUCCAACCCACGAAUAAGAACCACUAACUCACGAUCCCACAUAUAAACCCACAGGAAUCAGUUCCCCCUACACCGAUUACCGUAACUUGCCGGAAGUUUCGAAAAUCGCACCGGGACUCUGCCGGGACCUACGAAGUGUCUUGAAAAUCACCAACUUGUGCCACGAGUAACCCACUGCCACUAAACGCAAUAAUUUGUGUGACCUGGUAGCAACACAUCUCCUCACAUCGAAACGAUUAUCGUCGGAUAAUCGUUCCGUUUCAAGUUCCCCGAAGUGUCAAUUUUGACACCGGAACCCACCGUCGCUCACCCGUCAUUUCCGAACCCUCGAAACAACAUGGGUGACCAGCCAUUCAGGCUCAACGACAACAUGAUUUACAGUGAGGCAUCGUCAGAAGAAUUUCAAACCGAAAUCGCGUUCCGUCGGCGGAUUUCACCGAAAACACACCGGAAAUCGACAUUCGAUUUUCGAAACGGCCUGGGGCCUUGGACAGCUAGUCUAGAGGUCACCCGCAUCCCACACGUACUGCUCACAACAGCCACGAAGUGCACAAUUGCAUAAAAGUCCCCAAUAAUACAUAAAAUCAUGAUAUUUUACGUGAUUUACAGGGUUUUUUGGCUCGAUACCGCAAACCGAGGCUUUCAUGGUCGGCCGAGACAUGUACUGACAGGUCUCGACGUACCGGAGGCCAUGCUCACAAUUCGGAGCCCAGCCAUCCACUGUGGAGGGCGCGGGUGCAGCGCAAAGUUUAGCGAAUAUUGCGCACUAAAACUAAAACGCUUCUAAUUUGCUCAUUCGGUGCUCGUUGACCCCAAAUGAGGUGAGCACUGCGAUCAGCACUGACCGACGAUCACCGUGCUCACCUCCGGAGGCAUCGAAACAGCCCCAGGUCACCAGAAUACUGAAUACAACCCUAAAUAGUGCACAAAUAGGUUAAAAUAAAAGCUCAUCGGGUAAUAAGGGGCCAUGGCAUGGCAGGCGGUGGNAUGAUAUUUUACGUGAUUUACAGGGUUUUUUGGCUCGAUACCGCAAACCGAGGCUUUCAUGGUCGGCCGAGACAUGUACUGACAGGUCUCGACGUACCGGAGGCCAUGCUCACAAUUCGGAGCCCAGCCAUCCACUGUGGAGGGCGCGGGUGCAGCGCAAAGUUUAGCGAAUAUUGCGCACUAAAACUAAAACGCUUCUAAUUUGCUCAUUCGGUGCUCGUUGACCCCAAAUGAGGUGAGCACUGCGAUCAGCACUGACCGACGAUCACCGUGCUCACCUCCGGAGGCAUCGAAACAGCCCCAGGUCACCAGGGAACAGAGAUUCGAACAGAAAAUAGUGCGCAAACUAGCUUAAUAAAGCUUAUCGGGCCAGGGGGAGCUAGGGCAUGGCAGGCGGUGGCUCGGCGGUGGGCGUUCUGGUGGUAGGCGGGCACGGGCGAUGUAGGGAGACCAGGGCUCGCAUCGGCCGGCGACGGAAGGCGGCGGAGACGACGGCCAUUAAUGCCCUAGCCGCACAGUCAUAGAGGAGGUUGGCUCGAGUCCGACCAGCAGGGGGUCUCCGGCGAUGGGGGCGCUGGCGGCAGCCGGGUGCAGCAGACCCAGGGGAGCCGGCACUCACACUAGCCGGCGGCGGCUCCGCAAGAGCAGCCCGAGCCCGCGCGGGCUCGGCUCGGUUUCAACUGGUCACAACGGCCACCGAGGAGGCCAGGGAGCUGCGGCGUGACGGCGGUGGUUUGCUGGAGAUUGGAGAGAGGCGGCGCGGUCGGCGCAAGGUGGCGUCAGCGCGUGGGCUAGCAGCUGCACUUGUCUUGGCCCAAGCCUGUGCAGGGUGGCCGCAAGCAACCCAGACCGACAAUGCCGGCGCGCAGGGGCGGCGACGACCAACUGGGGAUGUCACGCCCCGAGACCGCUACCAAUUUGGUCCGGUUCGAGCGCGUCGAACAGACGCCGAACGGACAGAGUCUCCCCUGUCCGCCCAAGGCUAAGCAAACGAUCAUGUACAAGAAUUUACCCAGGAAUCAAUUCAUAAGUACACAAUCACAAGAGCACAACAAGUGCUAACAAAUAAGAGCAAGGCACAAGUAUAAAGCAUACAAGUAACGAUAAAGAGUGAAGGUCUAUCUAUUACAUUCAUUCAACCUCUUUAAUACAUCGAUUUACAUUUAAACUGCCAAAUACAACAUGAGUUUACAUUUCCAAAAUGAUACCUCACACCCUAUACAUCAUCUACUCUCAAGUACAAAAGGGUGGCUCUAAUGCAAAGGAAAGUAAACUAAUGCAUCUAGGGCGCUAAGCCCUUACCGCGAUCCUCGCCGUGUGAACUCGCGCUCGGCCCUGUAGUAAAAUGGGGGGGGUGAGAACUAACUUCCUUAGUUCCCAGUGGGUUCGGCCGCCGACUCCGCCGGUCUCCCCACUAGGUCCAAGUGGGCACAAGUAGAUAAACAGAUAGAUAGAUAUGGAAAGCUGUAAGGACAGAAUAGAAAACUACGCUACUAUGCCCGAAUCAUAAAUAUAUGAAUGCAUGUUCAAUGAAAUGGGUAAGCAACUAACUCGUCAUCAUGUCCAAGAAGUAAAGUUAUUUACUUGUUCAUUAAUCUUAUGGCUCACCCGAGGGUUCACCUACUACUCACAUAGCCAUCUCGACGCGUAGGGAGACUCAACUCAAACUACGAAUCCGAGACCGUCUGCGGGACCCCACAUAGGCUAUCCCUCGGGACCCCAAAUAGGCUAUCCCACGUGACCAACUCCGGAGCGCACUACUUGUGUGGAGCGACCAUCACAAGGUAUAAACAGACCGUGAGCAAGAUCCAAUCCUCUCCACUCGAGGAUUCCCUAUCCUCUAGGGUUACUUUCAUCACAAGGUCCAUAGGUUUCAUAUACACUAGGACUCACAUAGAUGCCACUCGUUCUUUUGUUUACUAUCAACUAGAUGCCACUCAUUCUUUUGUUUACUAUCAACUAGAUGCCACUAGUUCUUUGUUUAAUAUUAAACCAACCAUUGAGUCCAUCUUUCACCUCGGCACUAUAGGAUUCACAAUUCUCGACCCAAUCCUCAUCAAUCCACUAUAUCAAGCAACUAAAGCAUAGUAUGAUAUCAUCUAGGUAAGCAUAAGGAAAGGCAAUGCACAAUCAUCCUAUAAUGCAAGUGAAUACAAGAUGCAAGAUUUAAUGUACUAAGACAUAAAGGGGAGUCCAGUUGCUUCGGGAUGGUCACCACCCACCUCUUGGUAGUGCCACGAAAUUAGAAAACCCAACGCUGCGAUUCUCGUACGUCGCUUCCACUCCUCGGGGCAACCAAACCCUCAAGUACUUGUUUUGGCGAUAACUCCGCACCCGCUUGUCGGAUCGACGAACCGUCUUCGCCAACGACCCCGAGCAUGUGAUGCUAUAUGAGCCGCCGGAACUUCAAGAUGAUUUGAGCUAUGAAGAGUUUCCGGUAGAGAUUUUAGUUCGGGAGGUGCGCAAAAAUUCACAAAAUUGAUCCAUAGAUUUAGGCAACAAUCAUCUAUUUAGCAUCAUAGGAUUCAAUAAAUCCAUUUUUAUAGCAUAUAAAUGAAGCCUAAAAUUUACCAUUAAUAGGGUUUUGAAGUGCCCUAGGUUUCAACAAUGAGGAAAUCGAUGGCUCAAGCUUCAAAUUCGAGCUAGAACCAUCUAACAUAGCUCCAUAUCGUUCCAUUCAAACCAAUUCUAAACCAUAAAACCCUAUCUUAAGGAAUCUACCAUUAUAGGUUUGGAGCUUACCUCUAAAAGCUUCUCCAAGGUUGAGGGGAGGAGAAGAAAAUAUCUUCCUCUUUCUUGGUCUUCUUCUCCUUUCUCUUCUUUCUUUUUUUUUUUCUUUCUUUUCCUUCUCUUCUUUCUUUUCUUUCUUUCUUUCAUUUCUUUUCUAGAGAGAAAGAGGGAAAAGAGUGUGAGAUGUGGGAGAGAAUGAGAGAACUUGGGAGAAGGUGUGUAUGUGUGUGUGUACGCAUGCAACCAGCCCACUAGGCUGCUGUACAAUGCACAAAACCCCCUCUCACACCAUUACAACUUGCAUUUUCGCAGUUCGGAACAGUCGGGGCCCUUCGAUAUGUCCGUUUGUGCUCAAAUUCGACAGCAGGCUCGUUUUACGUACUGAGCAAGAAUAUAUCUUAAGUUUUCGUUUCGACCCCGUUUGGUCACCGAAAACUGCUGCCGAACUGUGAAUCUUUAGUAGAUAGCAGUUCGAUUUUAUUCUCCACCUUCCGGGUGUCAGAAUGGGCUGAAACUUUAAAUCUAGCCUCAUAAAAAUAAUUCUGACAUAUCCUCCAGUUUUCAUAAUUUUCUGACACUGUGCAUUUUCUGCUAAUUUAUCUGCCCCAUUCCUCACAGAAAAUUCUAAAUCUUCGGUUUUCGCUCCGAUUUCAGCACAGGUCAUUUUCAACUUAUACUUUACUUCUAUGAGUCCAAUAAAAUAGUAUCUCACACUAUUUUUAUUUAUAUUUAUUUUUAUAAUAAACUCCGACAUACUAUCCUACCGUAACUUCCUAUUUUCAGAAGUUCGGUAUCCUACAGGGGAGGCUGCCGGAGGUCGGGCACGGCCAAGGGAGGGAGCUCGAGGGUAUGGAUUUCCUUGGAGAUCCACGGGUAGAGAUGGAGGGGGAGAUGGUAGAGAAAGGCAAUGUAGCCUUUCUCUAGCGGCCAUAGAAGCUCACCAGCGGCCAGCGUGCACGCGGCGAGGUCAAAGAGGGGUGCUGGUGAUGGCUGGGGCGGAGCUGAGGAACUAAGGCAGCUAGGGUUAGGGUUUCCAUGACGAAACCCUAUAGCCUACAUAUAUACAAGGGGCAAUUUUGCACAAAAGUCCUAGAAAACUCAGAUUCUCUUACUGAGUCCCUCACAGUGCGAGUAAAAUGCGUUUGCGUACCCCCACGUUCGAUUUCACAAAAUUAUCGUUUCGCCAUUAAUGACCUCUCCUCGAUCAAUGCACGAUAUCAGGAAAUCCGUCUGUUGGAUUUUCGAUUGAGUUGCGCCAGUGCGUUUAGCACGACUGGGGCAUCGAAACUACCAUUUUGUUUCACCUGAUUUGAUUGCCAAUUUGUGACGGAACCCAUCCACUCUCUAAUUACCAAAAAUCUCUUUUUGCGAUAAAAUUCCUUUUUCUCGAAAAUCGUGCCUAAAAAUCCAAAUCCGUCAAUGCUUUGGGUCCAGGAUAGUCGAACCAUCGAAAACGAGCUAUUAGAUCACUAUGAUUAGAGUCUAUUAUGGACUAGAAGCCAUCACUACUAAUUGGCCUCUCCAGAAAAUCGGAGUUACUAUUCACUUUAAGUGAUUAGUGAAGGUCGCAUAACUUCUCCAUCCUAACUUGUUUUCUCCUGAAACUUGACGAGUGCUUAUGUAAUUAAAUUACACUCAAAAAAUCAUCAACAAAAGGGUUUAUCUGCACAGCAAAUUCUCAGUCCUCACAAAGGGUUUUUCGGUAUAAUUGAAAUAUUUCAUGCUUCGAAUCGCGGGAAUUGGUGUAUAGAGGGUCUACCACGAGUAUUACUUGUGUAGAUGAGGGCUGAGAACAAAAUAAUGAAAGCAUAGGGACUUUCUUGCAAGUUUACCUAGUUAUACAUAUAUAUGUAUGUGUGUUGGCGCCAUAAAAGUAGUGCCAUAUGGUAGAGCAGUCUGAGCCACGUGAGCAAAGUGAUCGGAGCAAAAUAUAAAGCAACACGUGAUACACCUGGCACUGGGAGAUUCACGUCUAAAAUAGGGCGGUUUAGGCAGGAUAUGGUUGAAGACGUGGAGGAAGGGGUAUGUGGCUAGCAAGAGAUCGGUUGAAGCAUAUGUCAUGCCCCGCGUACCUUUCCCAAAUAGGUGGAAGAAGUCUCACACAGGCGCGUGUGCUAGACCCGUCGAACGGACAGGGUUUUUCUUGUUCGCCCAAUGUGUCACAAUCAGUAUAAUUCAAAACAUUCCAAACAGAAAUUGAAUUCAUACACAUAUUGUAUAAGGGAAGCAUCUUAAACAUAAAACAAUUAUACUAUUACAAGCAUUUGUCUCAUUCGAAUUACAUUUUAUAUUUUUCCUUUCAUAAUACAAUCAAGUUAUUAAUACAAUAUUUUCUUGCUUUUCAUUUCAAUACCCCUAAGCUACGUUAUAAAAGGGUAUUUCUAUUCUGAUCACAAGUAGUAGGGCUAUUGAGCUACGCCCACUACAAGAAAUAAGCUAUAUAGUGGCAAUUUUUUUGGUGACAGAUUCAAAAUAUGCCGCUAAACUAAGUAUAUAGCGACCUUUAUAGUUACCGCUACCAUUUAUUUCUUAGCAGCAAUUUCAGUUGUAAUUAGCGACUGUUAUAACACUGCCAUUUUUUUUUGUAAUUCCAUAUUUGCAUCGUUAAUUAAUUUUGCUAUAAUUAGUUGGCUACUAUAUUAAUCCUUGUUGUUUUGGUAGAUAUAUAAUAGUGUUAAUUUAACAAUAUUUUAUAGCUUUGUAAUUUGUACCGUUGAUAUUAUGUAUUUUACGUACAAUAAUGGAGUGUAUGUGAACAACAAAUAACUAAAACUAAAGAGGAGUGAGAAUAUUAUAUUCCUAAUUAAAAAACCCUAGGCAAAUUUUUUGGGCGUGUUUGGUUCGCCCUUUUUUUACUCUGGAAUCGGAAUCGGAAAUGACGAAUCCGUUUAUCCAUGUUUGGUCUGCGGGAUUUCCAUUCUGAUACUGAUUCCUUGGUGAAUAGGAACCCCCAAUUACCACCUUUUUCAAUCGACCUAGGAGGCUGGAUUUGUCACGCCCCGCCCCGAAACCACUACCCAUUUGGCACGGUUCAGCCGCGGCGGCGGACCGCCGAACGGACAGCACCUCCCCUGUACGCUCAAGACUCAACAACAAGAAUGUGUACAAGAAUUUAUCCAGAAAAUUAAAUUCUAAACAUACACAUUCACAAGGGCACAAACAGUGCCGACAAAACAAAAAGCAAGUAAUCCACAAGAUAAAGCAUGUGAAAUAAAGAAAGUACUUUACUAACUAUUACAAUAGUUUUCAUUAUUUUCAUUUACAUCAUUCUCUUUAAAUGAUUACAUUUCUCAUCUCAAAACACAUAGCUCUCCAAGUCCUCACCUACAAUGAAUCUCUCAAAUACAUAGGUGACCUAAUGCAAAAAGGAAAGCCACUAACUACCACGGUCUCACUGAUCGGGCGCGAUGCCCUUGCCGCGGUCCUCCCUCGGCAACCCUGUACCUACCACUGGAAAUAGAGUGGGGUGAGAACUAUCUUCCAUAGUUCCGAGUGGGCUCGGCCGCCGACUCUACCGAUCUCCCCACUAGGUCCAAGUGGGCACAAGUAACAACAGAUAGAUAGAUAGAUAUGUAUUUGAAAACUGUAAAUGCGAUAAUAGAAAAACUAUGCUACUAUGCCCAUAAUCAUGAAUAUGAAUGCAUGCAUCAUAUAAUAAAGGUUUGCUACCAUGCUAACAAAUUCGAUCCAUGUUUGAAUAGUAAUGUUUAAUGACAUGUUAAGCCUUUAACCUUUCCAUUUACCCAAUAUGUGGCGAGGCCCUAGGGCUCGCCCAUAACUCACCUUUCAAUCCCAAAGUGGGGAGGGAGCUCCAAGUGCACCCAAGCCCGGGACCGUCUGCGGACCUCCAUGUGGUCCGGACCUCCAAGUGGUCCUAGUCGCGCAACACUCCGGAGUACUCGACGACAAUUCCCUCCAUGUGGGGAUUGGAUGGCUAUACCAUCCCAAACGCAGACUGUGAGCUAGAUCUAUCCUCUCCAAGUGAGGAUACACUAUCACUAGGGUCAACAACCCAAUCCAAUCCUCUCCAAGUGAGGAAGCACUAUAACUAGGGUCCGCAACCCAAUCAAAUCCUCUUCAAGUGAGGAUGCUCUAUCUAGAGUCAACAUCUCUCGCGGGAUCAUUUAUUCCCGACAGUCAUGCAAUACUAUUUAGCUUGUCUAAAUUCAUUGUUCACAGGGCAUUUUCUAAGGGAUCCACCUAUCCCUAGGUUCUCAAACAUCUAGUGUCAUAUACACUACAUUAAUGCCACUUGUCAUCAUUCAAUGUUUGGAUGCCACUCGUAUGUUCUUUAACAUUUACAAUACUUUCUAUAUCAUCAACACCCCCAUCGGGUACAUCUCUUUUCUUUCGCAUCAUAGGAUCCACGUUCCGACCCAAUCCUCACCUAUCUAAGUUACCAAGCGUUCCAAGUACACUAGGUUAUCAAUUUGAAAGCAUAAGGAAUGGAGCUACUAUGCAAUCCUACUAUGCAAUCUUAUCUAAGUUACCAAGCGUUCCAAGCGUUCAGGAUGGCACCCGCCACCUUUAAUCGAUGUAGAGGCUUCGGAAAUCUCUCUCGACGAGCUUUACGAAAAGGCUUUAGCCUUCAUUGCCCAAAUCAACACUAGCUUGGCCCGAUUUUGCCGAGAACUUUACGUCGGUUCGCCGAAUGCCAAAACCGACUUCGCCCCCACGAUUUGUGACCUAACAAUAGGGUUUCCAAGGCUUCAAAUGAGAUCAAUCUCAUAUAUUCACAAAAUCCCCAUUUUGGAACCCUAGGUUUGCACCUAUAGCAAACCACCAAUAAAUCCCUAGAUUUCUUGGGAUUGAUCUAAUUAGAAGCUUAUUUAGGGUCCAUUUGACCCAUUCCAAAGCAUAAAAAUCCAAAACCCUAAGUUCUAGAUGCUAGGGUUUAGUAGCUUACCUCAAGAGCUACACCAAUAGGAAGAGGAGAGGGAUACGGAAGUGCUCAAAGCCUUCCUUUUGAUCUCCUUCUUCUUUUCCUUCUUGUUCUUCCUCUUCUUUUCCUUCCUCUCCUUCUUGUUCUUCUUCUUCUCCUUUCUUUUCUAGAGAGAGAGAGAGCAAGAAAGAACGAGAGUGAGAGAGAGGGUGAAAUGAGAGAACGAGAGGGGGAGUGGGCUGUUGAGCCCUUCUAUUAUAACAAAAUCCACUUUAGCCCCUCAACGUUUCAUCUCUCAACUUGCUAUCACUGGGCUGUUUUCGCCCAGAGGGACCGGUACCUGGUCGGGGAGACCGGUCCCCGAGAGCUCUCCCUGCAAUCUGGGGACUUUUCGCGUGCGGGAACCGGUCCUCACCUGAGGGACCGGUCCCUGGGAGACCGGUCUUUCCUGAGAGACCGGUUCCCGAACGGGGAACUUUCAGGACUUAGCCAAAUUCAGGCUUCCUCUCGCGGGUGUCACGCACGAGGACCGGUCCCCUCAGCCAGGGACCGGUCGCAUCGACCUCCGCCACGACCAUCAGCUACGGGGACCGGUCCUCCCCUCCAGGGACCGGUUGGAGGGGACGACCGGUCCCCGAGAGCAAAAAUCUGCUGAAUCCAGAUUUUGCUUAUUUGCUCUCGCGGACUCAACUCCAAACCACUUUUUGUGUUUUGGACAUUCUUAACUCCCACAAAGGGUAUUCUCUCGACAAUUAGUCGAUCCUGAAUGAUGUACAAUCCUCGAAUUUCGAAAAUUCACUUCCUUACAGGAUUCAAAAUUGAAUCCGGGAGGAAUGAAUUUGCUUGAUUAAAUUUAACUUUUUAAACUUAUUUUUUUAAUUAAAAUAUAAGUUUAAGUUUUAAAAUUAUAUUUAUUAAAUUUGAAUUUGAAUAAAUCAAAAUUUAGUUUUAUAUUUUGAAUUAUCCAUUCAAUUUCAAAUUUAAUUUUUUUAAAAAAUAUAUUUAAAAUUUUGACAUAAAUUUUAAUAAUUAAUUUUUAAUUUGAAUUUAAACUAAUAUAUUAUAAAAAUAAAUUUGAUAUAUUAAUUUGAUUAUAUUUCUGAUAUCUAUCUGAACCAAAUACCGACAAUGGGAAUGGUACAAUCGAUUCCGAUUAUCACGCCCCGGAUUCCUCGUUUCCCCGGGCACGCUAACAGACCCGCCCCGUCAUAUACAAAAAAAAUUUUCUUGUAUACGAAGCGAAACUCUACCUGUACCUGAAUCAUACAAUACUACAACCAGUAGUAUAGAGCUGUAGAAAUAAAACAUAACUAAACAAUAGAAGUUCACUAUACAUACAUAGCAUCCUGAUAUACAAAAAUUAUUCGCUCCAGCGAGAUACAACAUCAGUUGUAUAAUAAACCAAAAACUAUAACUACCUGCAGCUGGUACUCCUCUAGCUCAGCAACUCGACAGGAAGAGCUCUGACUCGCAACACCCUUUCCGCGGUCAGAAUCAACAGUAGCAGCAGCCGCAACCGAAGGCUCUACAAAUGAGGGGUAACAAAUCGGCGUGAGAACUACUGCAAAAAUAAGUAGUCCUCAGUGGGUACCGCCCCAACUCAUCGGCUCACCCACUAAGUCUACAGAUGAUAUGCCCAAAUGAUAGUAAAGAAACUGAAAACAGUCUACAUCUACAUGCCACUAUACUAUCAUGAACCGACACUACUAUCUGUAGAAUAAUGCGAUCUCUGACCCAAUCUCACUAGGGACUGUGAACACACCCGUCCUAGGGACUGUGAAUACACCCGUCCCGCCUGUCGAAGCUAUAUAGCUACCUUCACACUAAGCAGUUCGUGGAGAGCAAGUCCAAACAGGACACAACGACACCAACGCGAAAGCACAAAGCCCGACUCCGGAGUGGCACUUGUGGGCGCUACACAACCGAGUAUGCAAGCGUCUCUCUGUCGAGCUCAAUCAAGCUCUCACAGGAUCCAAGUAAACAUAGUCCAACUACCAAACUCACGUGCCCUCGGCACAAUCUGAUGCAGAAACAGCAAUCUGGGUCCAUCGUCAACCUCAACGGCACUCGACAGUCCGAAACAGCCUAAAUACUGCUGUAAAAAUAAGCUCGGUAUCUCAGCACGAGCGUAAAUACAUUCUACACUAUUCUGGGUAUCCACCGCCCACAAACUGCGGUAAUACAAACAAACUACGGUUCGUAGAGCUAAAUCUGGUAGUUUUAACAUAUGACAGUGUAGAAACGCUGGUUUUCUCCUAAGUCAAUUCCAAGUCCAACAUGUAUAAUUUAUCUAACUUAACAUGCUCCAAAUUCAGAUUUCAUUUAAUAUGCUAAUCGAUGAAUUCGAGCUAAACACAUGAUAUACAACUGCUAAAAAUAAACAUGUUGACUACACGUACACUUAGGAGGAGAAUCCAAUGAUUAACCCACCUUAAGUGCUAAAUCCACAGCAGCGAGGAGUUGUCGGAAUCCCUGUCAAUUUCUGCCACGACCAGCAACCAAACAAAACCAAGGUCUACACAAAAAUCCACCAAAAAUCCAUCAAUACUCCAAAAAUUCAGCACUUAAGCUAAUAUCAUCCAAUUCCAAUGUCAACUUUACCUUCCAAACUCAAAUUCAGAUGAGAAGCAGUCCCAAAUCCAGUGAACUAUGAUGGAGUAUCAAUCUCAGGUUGCAAUUCCAGCUCCCUCCAAGAAUUAGUCCAAGAAAAUCAAAGAAACUCAAUUUCAGGUCCAAAAUCCCAAUAGCUCAGGAAAACACGAAAUUGACUUUACAAACCUCAAUCAAUUUCUAUCAAAAUAGGCUCCAUGAAUUCCUCUUGAAGUCCAGAAUCCAACAAACCAAAUUUCGUGGAAAACGGAGCUUCCUACGUCGCACACGAGCCAAAACAUCGAAGGUCGAUGCUGGAAUCUGCUGAAACUGCAGCCUUCAAGCUUCAAUUUGAGGAAUUUGGAGUAAUUUGGGAAGUUUGGAGGGGUUGAAAUGCAAUUUUAGGCUUCACUAUGAAGAAGAGGUGAAAAGAGCUCACCAGGGACGUACUCCCUCUAUUUAUAGGGUGAUCAAACGAUCAGAUAAGCCUCAGGAACAAAAGAGGUUAACCUACAGAUUCUGCAGAAAACCACACUUUCGGGCGCCCAAAAUCCCUUUUUGGGCGUUCGAAACCUCCAGGCUACACACUUGCUCCCCUUCGGUUCCUCCCCCUGCAGUGUGUUGCGCCCAUAUCCGGCUCCGGCGGAGCUCACCUACCACCAGCCACGUGUCAGUGCAAACGAUUGAUACUCACGAAAUAAAUUUUCGGACCUAUUUCUGGGCGCCCGAAAUCAGGAUCCGAAUUGGCUUCCAGUUCUGCUCAGUUCAGCACUCAGGUUCUGGGCGACCCAAACCAGUUCUAGGCGCUCGAAACUGGCAAAACUCCAGUUUUGCUCCUUUGAGUGUGUCGAGUCCAUUCUGCAUCCAUUUCGUGCAGAAACAACUCCGACUCAGUCCGACACUCUCCAGAUAUGUUGACCGGUCACUAAUACUAAAGCCAAUCCUAUCCAAACCUCAGGAGCACUACACCGAUUCAGGUGGUAAACCAAAUAGAAUGAGAUAACAAAUUAUUCUGAUUCCAUUUCUAGUUUAUUCUCAUUUCGAUUCCGAUUCCGAUUCCCACUUCGAACCAAACACACCCUCUAAUUAGUUUGCUUGCUUGCCCUUUCACCCUCAAUUAACACCCUCAACUUCACUUGCUCGCUUCUUCGUCCUCAAUUAAUGCCCCUCAACUUCACGAACGUACGGCAUCUGAGAUUGCAAGCAGCUUCUGAAAUUAUUUUUAGCGCGCACAGUUUUCCUCCUAAUUUUUUUCAAGCGGCUUCUUCCCCAUGAUUUAUUAUUUUUCUUCUCGUACAAUACUUUAAAAUCUUGUUGCUUAUCGCCGGUAGUUCACGCGUCGACGGCUUGUUGUUUGAAAUUGAUGCUUGUCGCCGGUGGUCCUCGUCGCUCGCUUGCCGUUUGACAUCGUUUCUUGAAAAUAGGUCUCUCUCUAUCUAUUUUCUCUCUUAGAUCUUCAUAUGGUCUUGGAUGUCGGUUUUUUUUGGAUUUUUAUAUUUUUGUUAAUUAGUAUGUAACCAUAUUCAACUUUCACCGAAUUAUUAGCAAGGAAAUAAGAAGGAUGAGAUAUUUUUGUCAUAAUGAAGUAAUUAAUUAGGAGAGUUUUAUGGAGAAAUUACUUAUGGUGGAUCCUUUGUUUUCUGUUAUAUAGCUUCUUGUAUAUGUAAAAUUCCAACACCUUUUUUAACAUUUCAUGAGAGUAUAUAAAAAUUUGCCUGAGAGUAUAAAUUUGAUGAGAUUAGAAGUUUAAAAUAGCACUUCAAUUUAAGAAAAGGAUAAAUGCAUAAAUGCUUUAUGAACUUCAUAGUUUGGCAAACAACCCUUUAAACUUUUACAUUUUUCUAUUGAUCUUAUGAAACUUUACAAAAUAGUUUUAAAAUGUUCUUUGUCUCCAACAAAAUUAUUUAUUAAACAAUAGUUCUUAUCACGCUUUCUGAAUAUGAUUGGACAGAAAGCUAUUUAUACACAAAAAUAGCACACCAUUUGUGGACAAAUUCUGAAUAAAAUUAUUAAUCUGUCAUAUAUACUAUUCCAUAUUUAAAGCAUUAGAAGUAUCAUACUAUAAUAAAAGAAUUCAAGUGUUAGAUAAUUUAUCAUGCGCAUUGAUCCAUUAUAAAAUUUUAAGUUUUGCUUUAUUAAUUUUUGUCACGCCCCGGGGUUCCUUUAUAAAUUCUUUUUAGGAAAACCAGUGAAAAACGUGUAAGUUUUUUUUUUUUUUUUUUGAACACCUUUGAGAACAGCCCGCGGACGGACACAGACCAACCACAUGAACAAAUUAUUCUCUAUAUAGAUGGAUAGAGUCUCCCUUAUACAUGUACAGCGUAGCAACACAACACUUUGACAACCACACUGCAACCACACAAUACAACAUCUAAUGAUCACAAUAUAAUAAUAAUUCAGGUACAUUACUUAACAUAUGAAAAUCAGUGGGUGAGGAACUAAACCAAUCCAAUAGUAGCAAUAAUAGUGGGGGGUGAGAACAUGUCCUCACGCAUCGUCUAACACUCACCAUCCGCGCCAUCUAAAAAAUUAUGGGGGGUGAGAAUAUGUAAAUAUGUCUCCCCUCCUAGUGAGUAUUGUAAGCCAACGAAGGCGAGGAGUACUCACCGGUAAAGAAAGAGAUAACCAAAGUCAUGAGCAGAUAUCAUAAAUAUAGUAGCAAUAAUACCGGAAGGAAAGAGAACAGUAAGGAGAAAUAUAACUAACCACUACUGUAAUGUAAAACAGAAUACAUAAACGGAUAUCAUAAUGUAAGGACUGAGAUUUGACAGUGUAGCUAAAGUCUCUGUUGAUGAUGUUUUUGUGUGUAAUUUAAUUACAUAACCACUUGUCAAGUUUCGAAAGAAAACGAGUUAGGAGGGAGAAGAUACGCAAGCUUUACUGAUCACUUAAGUGAAUACUAACUCGAGUUUUCCGGAGAGACCAAUCAGUGGAGAUGGCUUUUGGUGCGUAUUGGACUCCGUUCAUAGUGAUCCAAUAGCUCGUUUUCGACGGUUGGACUAUCCUGGACCCAAUGGCACUGACGGAUUUGGAUUUUGAUGCACCAUUUUUGAGAAAAAGGGGGUUUAUCAGAUUUAUAUAUAUAUGUGUGGUUUUUGGAAUUGGAGAGUGGAAUAGGUUUUGUCGCAAAUCGGCGACCAUAUCAGGCAAAACAAAAUUGUGAAUUUGACGCCCCUGUCGUACUGAUCGCAUUAGUGCGAUCCGUUCGCAAAUCUGAUAGACGGAUCUCUUGAUAUCGUGCAUUGAUCGAGGAUGGGUCAUUAGUGGCGAAAUGGUAAUUUUGUGAAAAGUCCUACAUUUUAUGUAUCGUUUUGCGUAAAAUCGAUUGUUAGGGUGUGUUCGCGCGUUUUACUCGCGUUGUGAGGGAGUUAGUUUAAAAUAUGAUGUUUUGGAGGACCUUUGCGUAAAAUGAGCUUCUUAUAUAUAUAUAGCUCUUUUAGGGUUUGCAUGAUACAGAGCCUAACCCUAGCCCUCAGGUGACCCCCAACCGCCUGUUGCCCCCUCAUCUCGUGCACCGCACGCCUCCCAACUGCCGCCGCCUGAGCUCAGGCCGGUCACUACCUCCUCAGGCUGUCUUUCUUUCCAUCUCCCUCACAUUGCAUGCACUCGGCUUCCCAUCCCUGCCAAGAGCAUGUGGAGUGUCCCUCCCCCUCCGGCUCCUCCCGAGCAUCACCCUGGAACUUUGGCUGCCCGUCGCUACCGCCCCGAGGUGCCCUGAGCGUCACUGCUGCGCUGCUGCAACCCUGCAGGCUCCCUGGGAGAGCUCAGGCGGAGCUGAGCUCGCAACUUCUUCCUAGCACCUCAUCCGCCCGGGUCUGUACCCGCAAAUCCCCUCGCAGCCCUCCGGCACCCCCGCCUCCCGCCGAAGUAGUCGUCGCCGCCGCUGCACGCCUAGGGCGCCGCUGCGACGACCUUUAGAGAGAUCCGAACCUAGGCGGCCGCGCUUGAGCUGCGGGCCGCCGCCGCCAUCGCUCGCCGUCUUUCCUCUCUUCCUUGGGACCUCGGGGAACCUUCGCAGCCGAUUGACGCCGCCUCGGCCGCCGCCGAGGCCGGCGUGGAACCCCGAGCCCUAGUGCGGCUUGUACCGGCUCGGGUUGCUCCACGGCCACCGUCACCGACCGGCACGAGCCCCGAACUCCCUUCGUCGGCCGCAUCCAUCAGCCGCUAGCGCGCCCGCCCCCGAGCCGCCACCAGCUGUGCCCUAGCUCCUCCCUGCCGGCAAGGCUAUUUGGUACUAUUUUUGGUUGCUAUUCUAGAUUGCGCAGGCUUUUUCGGCAAUCCGAGGGUGUUCCAAUGCCUCCGGAGGUGAGCACGGUGAUCGUCGGUUAGUGCUGAUCACAGUGCUCAUCUCAUUUGGGGCUAAUGAGCCACGGAUUGGAGAAUUAGACCGGUUUUAAUUUCAACGUGCAUGCAGAGUUUGCUGAACUUCAAGUCGCUCCCGUGCCUCCCACAGUGGACGGCCAUGCUCCGAAUCAUGAGCACGGCUUCCGGCACAUCGAGACCUAUUAGCGUGUGUCUCAACAAGGCUCGAAAGUCCUCAGUUUGCUCUAUCGGGUCGUAAAAUCCCGAAAAUCACAUAAAAUAAUGUGAUUUUAGGUGAUCACAGGGACUUUUACAUAAUUGCACACUUUGUGGGUGCUGUGGGCAGUACGUGUGGGAUGCGGCUGAUCUCUGGACUGAUUGUCCAAGGUCUGAUGCUCUCUGCAAAAUAGGAGGUCGAUUUCGGUGCGUUUUUCGGCGAAAUUCGUCGGCGGAACAUGGUUUUGCUUCGAAUUUCAUCCGACGGUGUGUGUUUGCCCUGAGUUAUGUCGCUGAGACUUGUCGACUAGUCAUCAUAGUCAUAUCGUGAGUUUGGAGAUGACGAGUGAGCGACGGAGGGUUCCGGCGUCGAAAUUGACACUUCCGGAAACCCGGAUCCGAACAAUUAUCCGACGAUAAUUGUUUGGUUGUGUAUUCUUGUGUUUGCUGCCAAGAUAUCCAAAUUGAUGUGUUUUGGGGCAGCGGGUGACUCAUGGCACAAGUCGGUCAGUUUCGAGACACUUUAUGAGUCCUAGCGGAGUCCCGGUGCGAGAUUCGAGACUUCAGGCGAGUUACGGUAAUCGGUUUUGGGAAACCGAUUCCCGUGGGUUUAUUAGUGGGGAUUAUGAUUUAGUGAUUCAUAUUCAUGGGUUGGAUUCUAUUCCGGUGACCCUUCGUAGGCCCGAUUGAUACUUCUUCCGCAGUUGGAAAACCGGUGCCUUACACGUACAGGUGGGUACUUCGACCCGAAAUCGGUACAGUGGUGCACGCUCGGUGACAUCUUUUCUACUCUUCUCUUAUUAUAAUUUUUGCAUGAUAUAUGUUGAGCCUUGCACCUUUAUUACCUCUUUAUCGCUCUACUUGGUUUGUUUACUUAUCUAACCUCAUAAGUAGAAGUAGAGCAGGUUUAUGAUUACAUGUAAGAGUUGUGACCUAAUCGGUCAGUUCUUGUAUCUCGCACUAUGACCUAUUCGGUCGGUUCAUUGCAUCUAGCAUUAUGACCUACUUGGUCGGUUGGACUACUUGGUGACCUAUACGGUCGGUAUACCCUGAGGGGUAGGAUUGUCGGCUAGUUGCCGACGGUUGGCUAUUGAGCAUAUCAGCAUUGAUCACCCAAGACUCGUUUGCAUUUCAAGAAGCUAUCUGAUCCACCGCAAGAUGGUCUUAUUUUCUGAAAAAGUGGUUGGGCGUGCCAAGCCAUGAGCCCAGUGGCCUAGACUAGGUUAUAUGAAGGUAGAGUAGCAGUGGCACACACUUGAGUCUGUGGACCGAUAUGGUAUGUUUCAGAUUGGGUAUUUUUGGACUUAUCGUCCGGUUGAUGCAUUCAUACAGUAGCGGUAGUUAUUCAUUUAUACAUCCCGUUCUUUUAUUUAUCAUUGCUGCUGUAUUACCUUUAUUUGUAUCUUUAUUUAUUCUCCUUGACUGGUGAGUACCCCUCGCCCUCGUCGGUUUGCGGUACUCACUCGGAGGGGAGACAUGUGUACAUUUUCUCACCCCCCACCUCCCUUUAAGGUGACGUCGCGGGUCCCAUUGGGACGGUUCGUGAGGAGCGCACUUAGCGAUCGGUAGAGCUUUCGGACCCAUCUAUUCGGUUUAAUUCUCAAACUUGUUUUCUUUUAAUAAAUAACUUAGAAAGUAAUUAUGGUUCAGUAUUUUAUGUUAAUUGAAUAAUUGGGAUUUCAUGAAUGUAAUAAAGAAUUUAUGGAUUCUUGAGAAAUAAAAAUGGUUUUCUACCCCUCAUGGUAGCGCGCUUUUAAAAGAAAAAGGUUUCAGUGUGGGAAACGAUUUUUAAAAGAUUUUAUUGGUUUUCAUGACUUAGUGUUUCAAAAUGGGUUUCUGGGUAGGAAACAUUUUAAACUGAUAGAUGUAGAUUUAUGAAUAUUUUUGAUGAAAUGAACGUGGAUGUGAAUGGUGAAUGAAUAUGGAUGUUCAUAUGUUGUGGUUAUAUCUUGCACUUGUGCGACGUCGUGCAAAUGCAGGAGAGACUAUGUCCCUGCGAAGAGUGGACUCUAUGUAUUUGUGGCAGAUCUUCCAUACCCUCGGGGUCAAGGUUUAAAAAAAUAAUAAUAAUAAAUUGGGCACUUCUGCAUUGGUUUUUAAACCAAAAAGGAACUCGGGGCGUAACACAUAACCACAGAAGCAAUAAUACAGAGAUAAACAACAGUAAAGGGGAAUAUAACUAACUGCUAUUGUAAUGCAGAAUAGAAUGCGAAUAUGCAUCAACCGUACAAAUCAUUCAAAAAUACCCAAUCAAUUUGCCAUAUUGGUCUAAAAACCGCAGGUAAUGUCAUACCACGCUCACCCACCUGGUAUAUGACCCAAGCAUAAACUCCUGGGCUCAUGGGCUGGACUCACCCACCUGGCAUAUAACCCUAGCAUAAGCUCCUGGGCUCAUGGGUUGGUACUCCCAAUCACUUUUCGAAAAAAUACACUCCCUUGAGGUGGAUCAAACUGCUGGUGUACGUGUGCGUCUGGGCUGUGGCGAUCGAUGCAAUAUGCUCCAUAGCCCACUGUCGGCGAAUAGCCGAGGUAAAGUCCAACAAAUAGUAGCUGAGCAACCAGGUCAACCUCUAUCUCAAGGAUAGGACAAUAUCACCGAUCACGAAGUCAACUAAUGUCAAAUCAUACCAUGUAUAAAUACGAGUGUCACUAACUAUGAAGUAAACUAAUAUCAAAUCAUAGUAUGUAUGUAUACGAGUGCCACCGACUAUGAAGUCGACUAAUGUCAAAUCACGGUAUGUAUGAAUACGAGUGUCGCCGACUAUGAAGUCAACUAAUGUCAAAUCACGGCAUGUAUGAAUACGAGUGUCACCGACUAUGAAGUCAACUAACGUCAAAUCACCGCAUGUAUGAAUACGAGUGCCACCGACUAUGAAAUCAACUAAUGUCAAAUCACAACAUGUAUGACUCAAUCAUCAGAAACAUCACUCCACUAUUAAAUCAUGACCAUGUGAAAUAGGAAUAACGAAAGAAGUCAAGUGGUGUAAGAAUGCUCAAUAAAUAUCAAAUAACGAAAGAAGAUAACAAGAAUAGAGAUCACUGAGCAUGCACCACUUUACCGACUUCGGAUCGAAGUACCCGCCUGUCACAAUCGUGUUUGAAUCCUGGACACACGAGAAGUCAGUUGGACCUACGAUGUCACGCCCCGGGGCCGAUUUUAAAAGCCUUUUUAUAAUGAAUACAAUUUUGAAAUCCGAAUUGUGGAAAACGUGCCAUUUUUUUUUUUUUAAUUCAGCCCGGUCCACGUGACGUACAGACCCGCCACAAAUACAAAGUUCCUAUGACCACACGGACAGAGUCUCCUUCGUAUUUGCACAGCAUACCAACAACAAUAUCAGGAUCAGAACAACAACUUACAUUCACCAAUCCACAAACAAUCCAUGUGAUGUAUUUUCAUACAGCUAGCGAUCCUUAGAGAUGAUGCAUGCCUCUAAGCACUCUUUAGGCACUGGAUGAUGCGAUGCACAGUACAACACUCAUCCUAUUUAAAAAUGCUCCCCAUCCGGAAGCUUUGUUUUUAAACUCUAUAUAAUCCUCCAUAAAUUAUUUGAAAACCUUUUAAAACUGUUUCCCACUAGAAAACUCCAUUUUGAAAACCAACUACCUCGAGGGGUAGAAAACCACGAUGUAUAAAUACGUAAAUCCAAAACUAUACAUUCAUAAAUCUCCAAUCACAUGUAUCAUAGAAAAACAUCAACUCAAACCAGUUCACAAAUAUUGAAACAUUUAUAGUGAUCAUCUAACUGAACCAUUUAAUUAUUUAAAAUUACUAAUGUGGAAAUGAAACAUAACUAGGGUGAUGGUCGCUGCUGCAGUCUAGCUAAUACGUCCUCCUAUCACACCAAGAAUCAACUCCUCGCUCAAGUCACCUGGGGAAAUGGGGGGUGAGAAACCACAAUCAAGGUUUCCCAAUAGGUACGACAGAGCCACGAAGGCAUAUCGUAUUCACUGGAAAACAAAGGAGAUAGAACAAACUGAUAUAUAUGUGAUAUAAAAGAGCAACUACAAUAGUAAUAAAAACAUGAUAGUAAAUGAGGAAGAACCAAACUACUAAUGUAACAAAAACUCAAUUGAACAGAUGCCUCAAGAGUAAAUAACCCAAAAUCAAACUCAAUCUGGUGCUUGCUAUAUUGGUCUGCAGGCCUCAAGCGUUGCCUGUCACAGAGCAUACACUGACUUGAUUCAUACGUCCACCGACGACCUAUCCGAAUACGUACACCCCCUGGUUGGUGGCCAAACCAACCGGUGUCUAGAAUACACAGUGCUGUGACUAAAUUAUGUUGAUAUGCUCAAUACGAAAAUCGGUAGAAAACCGGUGCCUUGGCCGAAGCCAGAUGCAAGGGCGUACAACUCCAAACUACGAUUAACUAGAUCGAAAGACAUGACAAAGGGGUCGAUGUGUUGCCUGAACCCAAGAUCCACAGAUAUAUAAUAUAUGCAAGCCCGCUCUACAUGUCUAUCUACAACUAUCAUCAUGCAAUCAACAAGGUAUAGAUGAACGAAUGAUAAACAAAAGUAAUCAACAUGUAGAGACUACAAUAUUGAUAUAGAAGGACAGGGGAAAGUGAAACAAUCUCACCGACUGCUAGCUCGAAGCACCCACCUGUCACUAUCGCGUAGGGAACCUCGGUGCACAACAAGUCAACCGGACCUACGAAGAUCCAUUGGGUCAGUAACCAAUCCACCAAUCUAAAAUACCCAACUCACAAACCCCACACAAAUCCUCAAAAUUGGUUUUCUUAAACCGAUCACCGUAACUCGCCGGAAGUCCCGAAAAUCGCACGGGGACGCCAGCGAGACCCACUAAGUGUUCCGAAACUCACAGACUCAUAUCACGAGUCACCCGCUGCUACAAAACACAUCAAUUUGGAUGUCUUGGCAGCAAACACAAGGUAACACAAAUAAACAAUUAUUGUCGGAUAAUUGUUCUGAUCCGGUUUUCUGAAAGUGUCAAUUUCGACACCGGAACCCACCGUCGCUCACCCGUCAUCUUCGAACCCACGAUAUGAUGAUGGUGACCAGCUGACAGGGCUCAGCGACAACUCUCAAGCAAACAAACACCGUCGGAUGAAAUCCGACCCGAAACCGCGUUCCGCCGGCAAAUUUCGCCGGAAAACGCACUGAAAUCGCUAUUCGAUUUCCACAAAAGCUAUCGAACCUUGGACAAUCAGUCCAGAGGUCACCACACACACAUACAUACUGCCCACAGUAGCCACAAGAUGCACAAUUGCAUAAAAAUUCCUACAUUUACAUAAAAUCCUAUUAUUUUAUGUAAAUCGGGUGAUUUUGUGGCUCGUUAACGCAAAUCGAGGACUUCCAAGGUCCGCCAAGACACGUACUGACAGGUCUAGACCUUCCAGAGGCCGUGCUCAUGAUCCGGAGUGCAAAAACUCAUUGUGGAAGGCGCGAGAGCGACCCAAACAAUCAGUGAACAACACGCACUCGGGAAAAACCGCACCGACAACGCAACUUCGAAAGCCGCUGAUCCAAAGUGAGGUGAGCACCGUGAUCGUAACUGACUAGUGAUCACCAUGCUCACCUUCGGAGGCAUCGAAAUAGUCUCAGAUCGCCGAAAAAGCGUACGCAAACCAAAACAGCAACCAAAAACAGCACUGUGAAGACUUACCGAGCAGUGGGAGCUAGGGCACGGCGGGAGAUCCCCGAGGCUCUGAGGGAGGCGGCAGAGGAGGCCUCGGGUGGCGGCGGCGCGCGGGCUAGCAGCUGAAGCUCAGGCUCGAGCUCGCCCAAGGAGCCCGUAGGGCUGUAGCAGCGUCGCGGCAGUGCUCGAGGCGACAACGACGGACUGCCUGAGGUUGGAGGGAUGUCGUCGGGGUGGUCCAGGGUGGCGGAGGCUUGAGGAAAAGGAAAGAACUUGGCCUCAGCCUCAGCAGACCUGGGGCGGUAGUUAGCUGUCGGGGGCGACUGCGGCGGACCAUAGGGAUGGCGCCGAGGGUCGCGGGAGGGCGGCACGGCUGACCAAAGGUGGUGGCGGCGCGCGGGCCAAGAACUACAAUGCCCUAGGCCCGAGCUUGCCCAGGCUGGCCGCAGCUGCAAAGGGCGGCAGUGGCGGCGCACGGCCGCUGUGGCUACCAGCAGGGCGAGCCUCGACGGGGUUGGGGCGACGCCGGCGGGGAGCAAGGAGACAAUGCAGCCUCAUACCUCAUCUCCAACUCGAAAGGAAUAGAGAGAGAAAGAAAAGCCUUCUCAGGCGGCCGGCAGCCUGCGCAAGCGUCCGAGGCGCACACGGUGCACUCAGGGGAGGGAGAUGGAGGUGGCUAGGGGCACAACUGGGGUUAGGGUUAGGGUUUGCAUGAAGAAACCCUAGUGCAUACAUAUAAACAGGGUGCAAUUUUGCACAAAAGUCUCCAAAAACUCAGAUUUUCUUACUGAGUCCCUCACAGCGCGAGUAAAAUGCGUUUACAUACCCCCACGUUUGAUUUCACGCAAAACCGUACAUAAAAUGUUGGGCUUUUCGCAAAAUUACCGUUUCUUCACUUGACGCGUGAUAUCAGGAGAUCCGUCUGUCAGAUUUGCAAACGGAUCAUACCAGUACGAUCAGCACGAUAGAGACAACAAAUUCAUUAUUUUUGUUUUACCUGGUUUUGGUCGCAGAUUCACGACGAAACUCAUCCUCUUUCCAAAAGGCAAAACCCGCAUACAAAUACAUAUAAUAUAUGUAUCUCUAGUUUUUUAGAAAUUUGUGUGUCAAACCUAAAAUCCGUCAUCACCAAUGGUUCCAUAAUAGUCAGACCAUUAAAAACUAGCUAUUGGAUCGCUAUUAACGAAGUCCGAUACGCGCCGGAAGCCAUCUCUACAACUUGGCCCCUCCGAAAAUUCGGGUUACUAUUCACUUUAAGUGAAAAGUAAAAGUCGCGUAUUUAUUCAUUCAAACUCUUUUCUCUCGAAACUUGACAAGUUCUUUUGUAAUUAAAAUACACACCAAAAACAUCAUCAACAGAGAGUUUAGCUACACUGCCAAAAUCUCAGUCCUUACAUAUGAUAAGUCCACCAAGUAAAAAACAAAUCCCUACUGACUCAAUGUAAGACUCACACAAUCCCACAUCCUGAGAUUCGGUUUUCCAACAAUCGAUCAACGUAAACCGCCGGAAACGUCCCAAAAUCGCACUGGGACGUCCCUCAGGCCCAUAGAAGGUCCUAAAAGGCACCGACUCUCACCAGGAGUUAACCGCUGCCCCGAAACACACCCAUUUUGGUGUUUCGGCGGCAAACACUAAGUCCCACACCGAAACGAUUAUCGUCGGGUAACCAUUCCCAUCAGGGUCCCCAAUAAUGUCUAAUUCGACAUCAAAAUCCACCGCCACUCAGCUGACGUCUCCAAUCACUCGAGAUGGCUAGGUGACUAGCCAACAAGGCUUAGCGGCGAAACCUAUCGUAUCCCAAAGGUGUUGGAAGAAUCCCGAGCCGAAACCGUAUUACGUUGGCGAAUUUCGUUGAGAAACACACCGGAAAUCAAUAUUUGAUUUUCGCAAAGGCCUCGGACACUGGACAAUUAGUCGAGAGAUCACCGGCCACCCACACAUACUGCCCACAAUAGCCAAGAAGCAUACAAUUGCGUAAAAGCCCCCACUAAUACAUAAAAUCAUAUUAUUUUAUGUGAUUUUCGAGGUUUUACGGCUUGAUACCGCAAACCGAGGGCUUACGAGGUCAGACGGGACACGUACUGACAAAUCUCGAUGUGUCGGAGGCUGUGUUCAUGGUUUGGAGUAUAGCAGGUCAGUGUGGGGGGCGUGGGAGCGACUCGAAGUUCAGCGAACCUUGCGCACUUAAUUUAAACCGCACUUAUUUCGCAAAUCAGGGGCUCGCGGACCCCAAAGGAGAUGAGCCUGAUGAUCAGCAUUGACCAGAGAUCAUCGUGCUCACUUCCGGAGGCAUCGGGGUAGCCUCGGAUCGCCGGAACAGUGAUCCCGACCUAAAAUCAUGCACAAAUAGCCUUUAAUUGGCUUACCGGGCAAAGGGGGUGCUCGGGUUUGGCCGGCAGCUGCUGGGCGGCGGGCGCACCAGCGGUAGGUGGGUGCGGUCGGUGGGAAGAAGUCGACGCUCGCACAAGUCGGCGGCGUGAGGCAACCAGAUGGGCGGCGGCGAUGCCCUAGCCGGCACAAGAUGGGGGGAGCUCAGGCUCAGCUUUUCCGACGACGGCAACUUCGGGACAACACCAAUCGGCUGCGGGUGUUAAGUCUUGUGUGUUGGCAAGUUUCGUGAAGUAAGUCGGAGUCUUGAAGAAUUGGUGAGUGUCGUCGAAGAUUGAAGAAUUCAAGAUUUCGAAGAAGUUGGAAAAUGACUCACGAUGUGAAUCACGACGUAAAGGUAAUGUGUUAAUUUAUGUUAUGGUGAUUCAUACUUAGUUAUAGGCAUUAGAAUCAUUAUUAUCAAUGUUUAGCUGAUUAGAAAGUGCUUGGAAACUCUGUGGAACCCGAAACAGUGCAAAGUCUGAAAAUUGCAUUGUGUACUGGUAUAGCCAUUGCCCCGUACCGGUACAGCCAUCGACUUUGGCUUCGCAAAUUUGUUCGGUCAUUAUGUAACCGGUGACAGCCUCUCGUGUAUCGAUACACAGUGUAAAAUCGUGAAAACUUUCUAAUCCGACUCCGAUUGAUUCUAAAGUCUAUAAAUAAGCUAUUGGGGUUCUCUAACUUAUCAAGCAUCACGAAAAUACAUGUUUGAAAAACCCUAGAGGCUCGGAUUUCAUCUAAAACCUAUUUUCUACAUAUUAGCCUCUUUUAGGUCAAAUCGAGAUAUUGGAAUUUCAUAUAUAUAUGUCGAUUUGAUCUUCGCUUCGCUUAAAGUUCUCUUCCCUGGUUUUCAUCAAUACUCUAGGUGAAGGAUCACCAUACACAUGAUGUUCUUCAUGAUGGCGUCGUGGAUUCGGCGUGAUUGACGACGGUUCGUGGAUUCGGAUCGUGAGCUUCGUGGAUUCGAAGUGGAGGCGUUUCGUGGAUUCGGAACGUGGCGUUCGUGGAUUCGAACGUGAGGGCGUGGACAACCCGGAGGAUUGCGCGAGAUUCAUAGGAGAUUAAGAUAGGUCGAGUCCGUGGAGUCGGUAAUCACCUUGUAAUCUUUUCUCUUAGUAAAUUAUUUUUUCGCGUGUUGGUCUUGUGGGUUUUUUACUCUAAGUUGGAGUUUCCCCACAUAAAUCUCGGUAUGAUUUUUAUUUUUCGCAUUUAUUUUUUAUCGCAUUGAGAUUUGUGGUUUUUGGCUAUUACACCUAUUCACCCCCCUCUAGGUGUUAGAUACAAUCUAGAUAGAUCCUUGGGCACCCCAAAACUUAUAGCGGGGGUCCCCUGGGGUCACCGGGAGGAGAGAGGAGGCGACGGGCGACGACGGCGACAGCGUGCAACUUCGCACGGCCGCCCGAGUAGAUCCCAGUUUAGAGGAGACUGCGGUGGCACCCUGAGGGCGCGUCGGCGGCGAUCACUCCAGUCGGGCGCAGGGAAGGCCGAGGGCUGAGAUGAGGGUUCAGUUGGCCUCGGGAUGCCGUGGGGAAAUUGACGCAUGGACUCCUGCCACGCGCAUGCCCCAGCUCCACCCCACAAGUCAUAGGGCUCGGUGGCUCACGGCGGGGGCAUGGCAGCCGGGGGGAGCCUCGAUGGAAGUUGGGGCCACGCCGGCAGCAUCCAGAAGGGGAGGGAAACCUCAGGUCUAACUCCUACCAGAGAAAAAAAGAACAAGAGGAAGUGAAGGAAGGAGAGUAGAGGAAGGGUGGCCUAGCAGCAGCUUCAGCCGGCGGUGGCAGGUCGGCGGCGGCGGCUGCGCGCAGAGAGAUGAGGAGAAGGGGCUAGGGGCUCGGAUGAGGGAGGAGGGCUCUAGGGUUAGGGUUUCCACCUUGGAAACCCUAGAUGCCACUUAUACAAGAUGACCAUUUUGUAAAAUAGUCCUCCAAUACUCAUUAUUUUCUUUUGAGUCCCUCACAGUGCGAGUAAAACGCACGUACGUACCUCCACGUUCGAAAUCACGCAAAACGGUACAUGAAAUAUAGGGUAGUUACGUGAGUUUUCUAUUUUGUCACUCUCGACCCCUAUGUAAACAAUAUGUAACUACAGGAGAUUCGUCUGUCAAAUUUAUGAACGGACUACACCAGCGCGUUCAGCACGUUCGAGGCAUCGACAUUACUAUUUUGUUUCGCCCGAUUCAGUCGCCGAUUUGCAACAAAACCAUCCUCUUUUCGAUUCUCCAAAAACCACACACACACACACACACACAUGUGUGUGUGUGUAUGUAAAUCAAAUAAACCUCAAAUUCAAAUUUGAAUUUGAAUUUCCUACCAAUGGUGGGUACCCGAACUGUCACGCCCCGAGACCGCUACCAAUUCGGUCCGGUUCGGGCGCGUCAAACAGACGCUGAACGGACAGCACCUCCCCUGUCCGCCCAAGGCUAAGCAAACAGAUCAUGUAUAAGAAUUUACCUAGAAAUCAAUUCAUACAUACACGAUCACAAGGAGCACCACCAGUGCUAACAAAUAAGAGCAAGAUACAAGUAUGAGACAUACAAGUAAAUAAAGAGAGAAAGUUCUAUCUAUUACAUUCAUUCAACCUCUUUAAUACAUCGAUUUACUUUCAAAACAUAAACAUAAAUAUAACAUGCUUUUACAUCUUCCAAAAUAACCUCACACCUAUACAUUAUCUACUCUCAAAUACAGAGGGUGACGGCUAAUGCAAAGGAAGUAAAGCUAGCUAAUGCAACUAGGGCGCUAGGCUCUUACCGUGAUCCUCACGCUCGCCCUGGACAAUCGAACUCGGACCUGUAAAGAGUGGGGCGAGAACUAUCUUCCAUAGUUCCCAGUGGGUUCGGCCGCCGACUCCGCCGGUCUCCCCACUAGGUCCAAAUAGGCACAAGUAGAUAAACAGAUAGAUAGAUAUGGAAAGCUGUGAUAGCAGAAUAGUAAAGCUACACUAUUAUGCCCGAAUCAUGUAUAUGAAGAAUGCAUGCACAAUGAAGUAGGUAGUCAACUGGCUCGUCAUAUGUCCAAGAAGCAAAGCUAUUUACUUGUUCAUCAAUCUCGUAGCUCACUCAAGAAUUCGCCCACUUCUCACAUAGCCAUCUCGACGCGUAGGGAGGCUAGACUCAAACUACGAAUCCGAGACCGUCUGCGGGACCCCACAUAGGCCAUCCCUCGGGACCCCAAAUAGGCCAUCCCUAUCCCACGGGACCCCAAAUAGGCUAUCCCACGUGACCAACUCCGAAGGGCACUACUUGUGUGGAGCGACCAUCACAAGUCGGGAACAGACAGUGAGUAUGAUCCAAUUCUCUUACCUCAAGGGUACCCUAUCCUCUAGGGUUACUAUUACCAUAAUUAAUGGGUUUCAUAUACGCUACGACUCACAUAUGCC